rnacentral:lncRNA from 1 species
AAAAAAAUAAAAAGACCAAAAAUAUACAUGAUGGAAAUGAUGAAUAGUUGCUCUGUUUGCUUACUUACAAGCACCUAGCUUUUAUAUUAGAAUUCUUCCAGGAAUUACUAAAACUAAAACUACUAUCUUUGGGAAGCAUAAAACUAAAGUCUAGGUAAAAGAAAGGCAUGAUAUAAAGUUGAGCUACUGUUUAUCCUGUUUCUACUACACUAAGUUCUGGAGAUUUAUUUUGAAAACUUACAAAUCACAUGAUGAGUUCCUAGCAUAACAAAAUUACCUACCACAGCCAUACUUGCUAUAACAUCUUUCGCUAUAUUCACAUUGAGUUUGAUCGAGCUGUGUAGACCCUUAGGAGCUUUUCAUGUGGUUAAAUUAAUAUAUUCACUUGCACACAUCUACCACAGCAUUCAUCAUCAAUCAUUAAAAUUGCUAAAAAUAUAUUAUCACUCACUGUCCCAAAUAUUGUUAUUCUCUCUCUCUAAAAAGAUUCAAUGCAGAAGAGGCAUGGGUUAUGCAAAAAUAUGCGAGGAAAUAAAAAGGGGCAAGUGCCCGGAACCUCGAAAAAGAAAGAAAAAGAGUGAGACGAGAGGUAAAAAUGGACAAGUGUCCGAAGUAGAAUUAGGGGUACAAAGAUGCCCACUUGAGCGGAAAAAAAUGGACAAGUGUCCGACAGUAGAAUUAGGGGUAUCCACUACCCACCUGAAAAAAAAGAAGAAGAAAAAGAGAUAGCCCAUGUUCUCCCAAAGCAAAGAUCAAAGAAGAAAAGAGAUAGCAAUAUGAGGAGCAAUGAGAAGUAAAUUUUAUUAUCAGUUAUGCAUUUUCACCAUCACUAUCAUUUACUCCAUCACACAUGCACAUCUUGAUUUAAUUAUAUGCUGAGUUCCUUUGGAUCCAUGGCUCGAUUAGACAACAUAUGUAUGAGCUGUUUUCCACUCCUAUAAGCUCCACUUAAAUAUUCCAUUAGCUAUAGGUAAGUGACAUUAUGGUAAGGAUCCACAAAUACCACAUAUAGAGAGGCUUAAGAGAUUAUUGCUGGGAACUCUGAGUUUUAUUUUGAAAACUUAUGAAAAAACUCUAGAACAAAAGUGAAGUAUAGACAGGAGGGAUAGUGCUUGACUUAACUAUUUUGUCUUUUAAUUACUUAAGAUUUAAGUGCAGGUACUAAACUCCAUAACACUUCACUCUAAUCUGGAAGAAUUUUUAUGUAAAAGCAUGUGUGCCUGUCAGGAAAGAAAACAUCGAAGCAACUCCUGAUCCGUCUGAGUUUAGCUGUUUGCUCAGGGACGAGCAAAUGGUAAGCUUGGGGGAGUUUGUUGACGGUCCUUAAGUACUAAAAUUAAUAAUCAAAUAAACAUGAAAAAGGAUCAAUAUAAAACAAACAUCUAGAAUUAGGGUUUUAUCUGACAGAAUUCCACGAGUUUUGGUGUUUAUCUAUUUCUGCAAGGGUUUAUCAGAAAAUAGAGAGAGAAGGCCCACAUGUCAUGUUUACAACGAGAUAAUUACGUACCGCGCAAUUUUCCUCAAUCUAGAAGGAUCCAGAAGCCAUGGGAACGAACGGGACGCGAUUCGGGCUCGGGAGCUGGGCGGCCGCCCACCCUCCUUGGGCGCCCGCCCUGGCCAGGAAGCCAAUCAGGACUCUGCUUCGGGGCAAGACUCCACCGACCUAAAGGAUCAAUCUAAACCAUACAAUCUAUGUCGGUUUGAUCCAAUGGCUCACGUUUACUUGAGGGGACUAUAAAACCAGACCCCCUGGCCCCUGGAGGAGAGGAGGAGAAAUCAUUAUUCAGAGGUAGCCAUCAAAGUUAGGGUUUAGAGCUUCUCUCCCACAGAGAAUUAGAAUUAGCUACUCCCUAAUCCUUCAAGUUUAGAGGUUGAUUAGAUAGCAAUUAGAGAAGUAGAGCACUAUGCUCUGGAUUCGGAUCUUCGGUAAUAAAGAUUGGUAUUAUUCAUAUCUUUCUCUAAUUCUAUUGUUCUAAUUGCAUUAUGUCUCUAAUUAUUAUGCUCUUAGUUUGCUCUAGUUCUAUAUUUGAUAUAGUUCUAAUUGAUAAUGAGUUUAUGUAUAAGUUUGCAAAGCGCUUAGCUCUUGACGCGAGGGAGUUAGGUGAUAGAUCACAUGUGAGCGUGGUGCUUAGAUGUUAUUUAUCUGCAAAUGUAUCCUAUUGGCCGGGUCGUGUGGUAGUUCGCGAUAGUGACAGCUUCGUUGGUUCUUAUAUAGUCCACCCUCCGUUGAUAGGACAGGCAGAACCGGUAUUGUGGAGUAAGUCAUGCGAUGCUCUGAUUUACUUUAUCAAUGUUCCUUAUACAUGAAUGAAGAGUCUUUUAUGCUAUAUAUGAUCUUGUAGAUAACUAGAGUAGAUUAUGACUUAGUAGUUAGUAGAUAACUUAGAAUCCAUUCUCUAGCUAAUCCGACAUCACCUACAUAUAUGAGUAGUCUAUUUUCUAAUUGCUGUGCUCUUUAUCCCAUGAACUUAUACUUUAUUAUCAUUAUCUUUAUGGUUUACCCCCUGCUAAAGUAUGUGACUGUGUGACGAGUUUCUCAUUAGUAAUCAUGUUCUUGCAAGUUUAUCUCUAGUCUAUGCCUUGAUAGAUUUUGUCCCUUGAUUUAAUUCCAUCUUCUUUAGAUCCCUAGAGCAAAAUUAUAAAUAACGAUACCGGGAAUACUUAUCCUGGUGAAAUGCUACAAUGAGGUGUUUUAUCUGUGCGCUUGCGGAUAGAAUAGAUUAUUUUCUAGAGAGCCUUUACAUUUAUAAAUACCUUUGUACACUCUGGCGCCAUGCUAGGGAUGACAACCAAGUAUCUAAGUGGUGUUAGCUAGUGUCAACAGGGGUCUGGUUUUAUAGUCCCUCCAAGUGAAUAUGGGCCAUUGGAUCAAACCGCCGACAUAGAUUGUAUGGUUUAGAUUCAUCCUUUAGGUCGGUGGAGAUCUCCCGCAAAGCAGAGUCCUGAUUGGACUUGGGGGCAGGGCGGGCGCCCUGUCGCUGGCCCCGUUUCACCUCCGCUUCGGUCUCGUGGCUUCUGGAGUCUUCUAGAUGUAAGAUAAUUGUGCAGCACGUUAAUAUCUUUACGUAAUCCCGACAUGUGGGCCUUUCUUCCAUAUUUCCUGAUAACCCCUUGCAGAAAUAGACAAACACCAAAACUCAUGGAAUUCUGUCAGAUAAAACCCUAAGUCUAGAUGUUGAUUUCAUUUGGAUUCUUUUCUUUAUUUAUUUGAUAAUUAAAUUUGAUACUUAAGGACCGUCAACAUUCACAAACUCAGGGGCAUAGCGAGCGAGAUUGUUGAAAGCGUGUAGAUACUCCUUCACAGAUUUUGUCCCCUGGGACAGCCUCAUGAACUCCCCGAUCUUCAUUUCCACUAACCCCGGAGGAAUAUAAUUUCCCCAAAAAGCGGUGGUGAAGCGGUUCCAGGUAAUUGGGGUCCCCUCUGGGUAGGUGGUACGGUGAUGGGACCACCAAAUCCCAGCGGGUCCUUGCAACUGAUGUGCCGCAUACUCAGCCUUAAGUUCUUCUGUCAUUCGGAGAAGACGAAACUUCUGCUCCAUAGUGUUGGUCCACUCAUCCGCUUCGAGUGGUUCCAAAGCCUCUUUGAAAAUUGGUGGCUUGGUAUCCAUGAAGUCCUUGAAUGAGCUGUACUGGUUGACUUCACGGCCGCCCUGGUUAUCCCCACGACGGGUGUUGUCAGCUAUGUUACGCAGUGCCUCUUCCAUGUUGCGUUGCAUCUGUUCCAUGUUGCGUUGGCUCCCCAGAAACUGCGCGAAAAACAUGUCCGCAGUGUACGGAGGAGGUGGUGGUGGUGGCGGUGUUGGUGCUCUGUCCUCAUUCUGUUGAGCCCCACCUCCGGACGUACCUACUCCAAGACCCGGAUUGCUGUUACCCCUGCCUCGUGUUUGCACCAUCUGCAUACGUGAAUGAUAAGCAAUAGUUAGGAGUUGCCAUCAACGGUAGAAAUGUGUAGAAUCAUGCCGUACUGAAUUUACUGAGGGAAUAAAUUCACACAAUAAACAGAGGCACAACAAUUCAUCAUCUACGCACAACAUCACUAACAAAUUACUUAACGUUCACGCAACAAGGUUCGCAUACAUCCAACUUGCCAGCAUACAUACACUGGACUUUCAGCACUAACUCAUAAAGUUUUACAUAGCCCAGAUCCAAAGGUACAAGACAUGCCAUGCAACAUACAUCUCAAAAGAAGAAGGACUAGUUCUAGAGCCCUAGCAUCUACUCGUUAUGGUCACUGUCCAUACUAGAGCCCUCCUCCUCAUCUCCACUAGCAGCUGCUCCUAUCUCAGGAUCCACGUCCAUCUCAUCCUCAGAGUCUAGCUCAGCUGCUCCGGGCAGGUGGUGAGGAUGGAGCUGGUUAUGCAGCUGGUGGAUCUCCUCAUGCAAGUUCUCAUUGUACUCCUCAGCAUUGGCUAGCUGCUGCUCUAGCUCUAGCUAUCGGGCCCUCAAAGUGUCCUCGUGCCAGGCUUCAUUCCUCUGUCCAAGCACGUGGACUAGCAUGCGCUCGCUGUUCCUGUGAGCAGUAGUCACCCUAUCCUUCUGCUCCCGUACUGCAAGCAGGUCCUGACUCAGCUCACUGUUCUUAUGGACUGCCUGAUCUCUCUCUGUGGUCACACGGGCCCACUCUGCCUGUAGCCUCUCAACCUCAGAGUCAAACUCACGCUGCAACUGACGCUUCUCAUCCUGGACGGUGAGAAGAGACCCGGACAAGCGACCCAAACAACGCUCCAGGCCUCCAUAGGUCUUCAUCAGAGCGUACAUGGCACUCAUAGCUGUACCGUCACUGUGCUGGUCCUCAUCCGCACUCCUCUCUAGAGCAUUCACCUCGGACUGAUCCCACACCGAAGUGUAGGGGUCACCCCGGGGAAACACCCCAGCGAAGGCGUGGGCCAGCUCCUGUGGAAACCUCUCCAUGAGGUCCCUCAGAACUACGAAAGCUGCCCUGCUGGCACCGUGGAAAGGCGUGACACCUCAGGACUCGUACACCCAGCCGCCCCAAGCAGGGCCUCCUCCACUGGUAGGGACAACUGCCUCGACCCCCACCAGGGUCUCGUCACCAAGCGGCUCCUUAUCCCAAUAGUAGCGAGGCUCCCUUCCUUCGGGAUACCCCAUCGAACUGAGCACCCUCCAAAGCAAAGUGGGCAUUCCAAACUCCUCCAAGAACUUGCUCUUAUGUCGUGAGCUCCUAGCUGCCAACGGAUGGCGAGGGGCCCGCCCACCAGUGGACUUGCGAGCGGUGAGCGUAGUGCGUGCCAUCUGCUGGAAAUGGAAUACCUUGGGUAAGAGCGAGGAUUACCUUUAAUUAUUUUAUUUAGAAUUGGGACAGAUUAAAUUAAGGGGGAAAGUAAGCAAUGAUAUGAAAUGAACAUGGUGCAUGCACGAACUUACGAUCUCACAAACUUAGAAAAAGAAGUUAACACUAAGCGGUAUAUGCGGUUGCACACAACGUUCUCUCAUAACGUAACUAGCGUUCUAAGCGAGAACGUGGUUAGUGUACCUACAUAAAACUCAUUUCAGCCCUCCCACAGUAUGAUCAUGCAGAACAAGAAUUUUAAACUAUACACUUCACAUACACGGACACCCGUCCAUGCAUAUGACGUGUCACAACCCACAUCAUCGCCCUAAUGACGGCAUCGCCUCUCAGGACGGAAUUCCCAACAUGCGGUACUGUUUCCAAGACACACCAAAACAUGUGUGCAUGACACAGUGCCUAACAACACUCCCCUAGACCGGCAGUGUAUCCGAUCAUGCUCUCACAGCUCCCACUUACCGUGGCGUAGAGGAAAAAUGGAUCCAUACAUUACCACUCAAAUGAAUGGUACUCAUACUAUUGCACGCCGUAUGAGCGACGAAAUAAAAUAUGAUGCAUUAACCCCCAAGUGAGUACUUAACUAGCCACCUUAGAGUCGUUAACUAGGCAUAAAGGAUAUGACCAUGGCACACUAAAUAGUUUUCCAAAACUUAGUUUGACACCUUGAUCAUCAUUAAUUAAUAAAAUCUUUUAUUAAAUCGGUUUAGAUUUUGUUUAGAACGUACUUAUGAACAGUAACUCGCUAAACCUUGCUCUGAUGCCAACCGUAACAGAACCGACCAAAUUAUAAGAGAUUAAGCCUAACGGAGACCAUUUGCAUAGUCAACCCAUCAGGCUUAAGCCCAUAUAAUCCCGGUAGUCUGUGAAAUCUCGAAGGAUUUCAAACCACACAUCGCACAACAGCCAAGAUCGUAAUAAUUUUAGCGGUCGCCAUCCACAAAUACAUCCAGAUUACAACAUUCAUAAAAUACAUCGGAGUUCUUAAAAUUAUUACAAACCAAGUUCUUCAAGUAGCGGAAGCUUCAUAGUUCGAAAAUACAACACACACAUUUAGUCUGAUACAGUGCCAUAGUUCGGUCAUUCCCCCAAAAGCAAAAGAGAAGACGGAGUGACCAUCGCCCUUGGUCUAGUCAUCACCCAUGGCUGGGUAUAGACAGAGGAUGCAAUAACCAUAGUACAUUUGACUAUCUGCAAAACAACAUGGGAGUAGAACCCUAAGUACGAGAAGGUACUCAGCUAGACUUACCCGUCAUAAACUUUAAAAAUAAAGACUCUUCAAGGAUCAUGAAGGCUAUAUAGUGGGAUAGCUGACAACCAUUUUUGCAAAACCGCAGGAUUUUACUAUCAUAACCUACAUAAAUCUUUAUUCUUUUAAUUUGCUCAAGUUGAAAGUGUCAUUACCUAUUAUCUAGGUUUGCACGUGCACUAUUACAAGCAAGUAUAGGGAUAUGAUAGUACUUCAUCAUAGCAUUCAUAAACCCUUCCAUUUUAACUCAAGUGUUCCAUAGUCCUUACUACGAGGACGAAGCUCAUGUCAAGUGCUCACUAUCCAGGAGCGAUGGCGAUUCGAAUCGAUUUCUAACCAGCUGGCGAGGUAUUCCCCACACAAACCACACUCACUGAUUAAGUGAGCUACAGAUCACCGUAUUACACUAUCCAGGACCAAUUCGCGGGUUCGGCAGGCACCGCCAGUACCCGAGGACCGUUCCGGCGACCGAGGUAUCCAAGGUAUACCAAGGUUGCGCGCCGCGCCCACGUCGUUCUCCUCAACCAUCACCAAUACAGCGCAUGGCGGCUCGAUUCCCGGCCCGGAUAGUGUUCAGGCUUCGCGGUCGGAACGACUUAUCCUUCUAGCUAAGUGUGGGGCAUGCGUUCAACAUGACAAGAGGGCCGUCAACGACCGAUCCUUAAUCGACACAGGCAGGGGCACUAUGGUCAACCCACCAUAAGACCCUGCCCGGUCUCCAAUUCCAUUCCACACUUGGUUAUUCUUUUCCCAAAGCAACCACUGCUUACCCAAGCAGGUAUCCACCUAUAUCUCGCAGGUGACAGGGGAUCACCCGACUUCUACCGGACUAAGCAAGCUAAGCAUAGACUCCGUGCCUAUCUACAUAGGACAAGGUAGGUAAACGAGUAGGGAUAACAAGGAGUACAUAUGCAUCAAUGGUAUCAAGCAAUUCCUAUCACUUAAAUGCAGUAUAGUAGAACAGCAUAGUAUAUCCUGUAAGUUAGCGAGAAUAGGGAGACUUAGAAUGCUCCGGGGCUUGCCUUUCUCAAACGUGCUGGGUCGGUGAUCCGGACACUCCUGGAGUUCCUCUCCGGGUUCCUGUACUUCCGGAGGUUCCUGCUCUUGAAUCUCCUCUGGCUCCUCGGGUCCCACCUCGUUCUCCUGCGAGCCUGUAUGAUGCAUGUGUGCUCAUGAGUGGAGUGCGAGAUGCCCGAGUGGAUGCUUGCAGGAAAAGGUACCAAAUGAUCAUGACAUGAUGCAUAGGUGAUUCACUGGGUCAUGCUCGUUACAAGGUAGUCAACAUCAUCCAAGAGUAAGCAAUUGGAUCAAACAUCUAGUGCAUUCUCUUCUACAAUUAUUUUUCAAGUGUGACCAGCAACCCACAAGUUGCUUCAAAGAUACACCAAACCCAAUCUUAUUCUAUUUAACCUAUACAUAACAAUUCAUAAUUUUCUUUAUUCAUUUCUAGGCCAUCCAAAAUUUGUAUGCAGUUCUGUUCAUCAAUAAAUUCCAUAAAAAUUACAGGAGACUACCAGUCAAGCAUAAAGUCUACUGUAAAUUUUUCAUAAUUGUUGGAUACUUAUUUUGAGCCACAAAAAUCACAAGAUUAAUUAAUAAGGUAAGUAUAAUUACUCCACUGUGAUAUAAGUGUCAAACAAUAGCUUUCAUAUUUUUACAAUUUGUCUAAUAUCAUCAGAAACACCCACAAAAUUUUCCAGAUUAAUUGCAUGAUCCAAAAUUUUAUUAAAAAUCAUAAACCACGGCCAUGCAAGCAUUUAAAUUACCAUAAAUUCAUUUAUACACCAAAUAAUGUGUAGCAAUAUUUUCCCAGUGAGUUAACAUACAUGCAGAGCCAACAAAUCAAGUUUCACAUUUUUCUGAACCAUAUUUUAAUUACUAUGCAUUUUCCAAGUUUAGCAAAAACAUGGAUUGAAUAUUUUCAUACAGAAAAGUUACUCAAACAUGACAUGCAAUUACAUCAAACUGUAGAUCUGGAAAUAUAGAACACACCAAAAUUUAUUUCAUCAAAUUUGGAGCUGUAGAACUCAAGAUAUGAAUUUUACAAGUUUUGAAUCGAUUUCUGGAAAACAUUUAUUCAAGAAAACCGACGAAAAAGGCUAAACACACCUAGAUCUACACCCACCGGGGUCCCCCUGCGACUGACAGUGGGCCUCUGGCCCCACUGUUCAGCGAGACCGAGAGGGAGCUCACCUCUGACGAGCAGAUCUCGCCGGCGGUGAGGUUCCCGGCCACGGGGUGAGCACCAUCGUGCUCCCCGCAGCGAGGUGCACCCAGCGGUACCCUCGGAUUGACCGGAGGAUGGCCGGAGCACCUCCGACGAGCGUGCAUGGCGGCACGGCGGCGCUGCUCGCUGUGGCCAGGCCGCUCCGGCGCGGUAGAGCGUGCGCAAACGGCUCUCCGAGCUUCCUCACCACCCUACCGACCUAGCGCAACCAAAAACCAGUGACAAGAGGUAGGGAAACGCAAGAUCCGUCGCGGCGGAGUACUCCGGCGAGCUCGGGGUAACUCCGGCGAGCUAUUCACGGCGCUCGACGGACUCUCACCUUGGUAGAACUCUCGCACAAGCUUACCCUAACGAUGGCGAAGGCGCUGGUGGCUUCGGUUUCGAGUUUUGGCCACCGGAGUGGCCGGCGGUGAGCAGCGGAGCUGCUCCAGCGAUGGUGCUGCGGCGGAGUUGUACGGCUCGGUUGCGCUCGUGUCGACGAAAGCUGGUCGGCAGUCUACCUUGGGGUAUACCCACGGUAGUAGUUUAUUGGUAGACGGUGCGCAAACUACGAACUCGAUGGUGACGCAAGACACGGGUAAGCUUUUUAUCCAGGUUCGGCCGCCGAGUUGGCGUAAUACCUACGUCCUGCGUCUGGUUGUAUUGAUUUGUGUUGAGAGAAUAUGAUGUCCUAGGGGGGUCCCUUGCCUCUCCUUAUAUAGUCCGAAGGGCAGGGUUACAGAUCUGGAAACUAAUCCUAGUCGGUUACAAUUGCCAUAGAUAGUUCGAUAUCAAUUCCUAUUCUAACCGACUAGAAUCCUGCUUGAUCUCCACAUCUUGUUUCCUUACGCGAAACUCCAAGCUGUCAGAUCAAACCUUGAGCUUGUCUCGUAAUGGGCCAAGCCUCCUGGCCAAAGUCUAGCCGUAAGGGUAUAGGGGUCUAUACCCCACAGCUAUUCCCCGAGCACCAUGUAUUAUGAUGUAACAUGACGUCUUGAGCUUCUUCGAUCGGUGAGGCUUGACGUCUUCAGUAAUCAAAAAAGUCGCCCAAACAGUUGCAACGGUACUUUGACCAACUCAAAAGACAGUUGAUCAACAUUGACCUCGAAGAAGCUGGUUGUUCGAAGAAUGCAUGGUGCUCUAAAAUUAAAAAAAGAUUUCUUUCCUGGUGAAGUGUGCCCACUUUACUUUUAAGAAAAGUAUAAACCUCAAAAUAGCGAGCAUAUUCACCACAAGGUGAAGUGUGCCCACUUAGUCCCCGAGCCUGGUAGUAGGUGACGUAGGUACGUGGUGCCAGGGUCAAAAGAAAAGUCCUCAAGCAAAUUCUAUAACUGAGAUGCAUCGCCAGAUGCAUCGUACCGAUGUAGUCCCCGAGCUUGCUGGAAGGCGAAGUAUGAGCCUUGUAGCAAGGUCUAAAAAAUUAAAUUUACCAGUCCGUCUGCAAUUGAAUAGACUGAUCGACCAGUCCCCGGGUAUACAACAGUAUGACCACCAGGACCCAAGCACCAAGUGCACUCCUUAGAAUUCUGCGUUGCUGUGCUGGACGACCAGUCCCCGAGCAUCAAGCGCUUAGUGGUCGGUGCAAUAUUUUGAAGUUCUGAGCUGAUGGACUAGACGACCAGUCCCCGAGCAUCAAGUGCUCGGUGGUCGGUGCAGUCUUUGAAGUUCCGAGCCGAUAGACUGGGCGACCAGUCCCCGAGCAUCAAGUUCUUGGUGGUCGGUACAGUCUUUGAAGUUCCGAGCCGAUAGACUGGGCGAACAGUCCCCGAGCAUCAAGUGCUCGGUGGUCGGUACAGUCCCCGGAUUGUUGACUCCCUACCAGUUUUGUCUGGUUGUUUUGAAAAUUUUCCACACAAAUAGUUGAUGUGACGAGACCUUCUGACGGGAUGUCAGAUGGAUGCAUGAAAAGUUGUGCCUGGCAAUUGUACAGCCGCCCUUUGCGCGGUUUGAGAAAAGGAAACCAUCAAUUUGUACGAAAACUCCGCCGCAUUAAUUGUCAAUAAUCAUUGAAAACCAAAACGCCGCAUCCGCCGUAUGGCCCGCCCACUUCCCGAGGAUGCGGGAAGUGGGAGGGGUGAAGUUGUGGGUUAUAAGAGCUCGACAGUUCCCCUUUACUGCUUACCCUACCAUUGCCUUCAAACCUUCCACUCUUGCCUCCUUCAAUCAUCUACGCCUUCCAAACUCGAAUCCACUUCCUCGACUCCAAUGGCGAAGAGCGACGCCAAUAAGAGGGCCGAGUUGAUGGCCAAGGAGUGGAAGAAGUCCCGCAGCACCGCCAAGUCUCUUGGCGACCUCGUCGAUAUGGGGCUUCUGCACGGCCCAGAGCUCGGCGGCUGGAGAGCGCCGGAACGAGAGAGCUUCCCCGACCCCCGUGCCGGUGAGAUCGUGGUGUUCGAAGACUUCGUUAAGAGGGGUUUUGGGAUUCCUGUUCAUCCUUUUCUUCAGGGUCUACUUCUUUAUUAUGAGAUUGGGAUUUGCAAUCUGCACCCGAACUCAAUCCUUCUUAUUUCUACUUUUAUCCAUUUGUGCGAAGCCUAUGUUGGCAUAGAGCCGCACUUCGACCUUUUCCGCUAUCUUUUUUGUUUAAUAAAGAAGGGAGCAGUUGGAGGCUCCAAGGUUGCUGGUGGAGUAUACCUCAACCUUCGCGAUGGAAUGAAAAACCGCUACCUGCACUGUCCAUGGAACACUUCCCUGACCGAAUGGUACAGGAAGUGGUUCUACCUCAGGGAGGAACCGGGCAGCUCCACGUUCUGCGACGUGGGAUAUAUCCCUGAGAAGAGGGUGAGCUGGACCGACCGCCCAGAGUUCGACGGUCAAGUGGCGGACCUCAUGAAGCUGAUCGACUAGUCGCGCCUGGACGGGCUUGGCGUGGUCGGCAACUUCAUUUGUCGUCGGGUGAUGCCCUGCUAGAAGAGGGUGCACUCGGCGUACGAGUACGCCGGAAGCCUAGACCCGACCAGGAUGCGACCUGAAGUCUUGGAGAAGGCGGAGGUGCAGCAGCUGUUGAACGAGCUGUUCAACUUCGCGGAUGGGGGCUUCGUCCGUGGCAGUGAUCGGGUGCAAGCCUUCAAGUUGGGGCGACCAGCACCUAAGGUAUCUUACUGAUUAUUUUUCCUUAGCAUUCGUUAUUGUCUACUGCUGACUUAUUUUUGCUACUCCUUGCAGAUCGGAGAUGUGGAUCGGUGCGCGGUGUAUGUGUCACUUGCACCCGGGAUGGAAAAUCCUGCGGGGGAGGAGCCGCCAGAGGAGGACGCUCGGUGUACUCAGUACACCAGCAGCGAGGAGGACCAGGCCCAUCCCAUCUCGACCACCAAGGAGAGAGUGGCGGGGAAAAGGCCAAUGGCGGUGGAUCCUUCGCCUGCGGCGACGCUGCCAGCGGAGAGCAGCCAAGCACCGAAGCGCCGUCGGCUCGUCCGGAUUACCGACGACGAUGACGAGGAGGAGGAAGCCGCACCGUCGCUAGUCCGACGGCCUCGUAGCCGUCUGGACAGUGCGCCGGCCACCACUGGUCGGGUGGCUAGCGAUCCUCCUUCGCCGCGCGUUACAGAGACGGGAGCCCAAGCGCCAACCGGUCGGGCUCGGAGGAGGUUCACCGCGACCCACCGUCGAUCGGAUCUGUAAGUGUUCGACUUACGUAUUUUGGCGUUUUUUUUUGCUGAAAAUGCUGCUUUGAUUUUUAGCGCGGCGUCGGAUGUCAACCCCGACCACGCCGCCGGACAAAGGGUGGCCGAGCCUGCUUGCGCUGCUGAAGACGCGGCGCCGCAGACCACAGAUCAGCCUGCGGCGGCAGCUGCUGCUACAGGCAUCGAGGGAGAGUCUGCCCCGGCGAGUGCCGCGGCGAGCACUCCGCCGAGGGAUGGGGAGGCAGGAAGGACCGCUCCCCCGAGUAGCGUCGCGGAAGGGGAAGAUAGAGCACCAACCCCUCCCCCUGCCGAAGAGAGGAGGGUCCCAACGCCACCCCGGGCAGGGGCCUCUUCGUCCGCAGGCGCCCCGGGCCUGGCCCAGGGGCCGGUGAUGCCUUCGACCACGACUGGUGGCGGUGCAGCGAACGAGGAAGCCCGGGCAUCCUCCGACGACGAGGUGGAGGAAAUUGAAGGUCGCCCCCGUGAUGGCCGCCAGCACGUGUAUGUGUGGCGCCAACGCGGGGACCACUUCAUCGGGCAUGAAGAGCUCGCGGAGACGGAGGAGGCCGACAGAGUGGAGCGCGCGGCCAAGCGACUCGUGGAUGAAGUCAAUGUAAGUGAUCCUUAGCGCUGUUCGACACUUGUUAUGUUGUAUUGUUGGGUCGACACAUGUUUUUCAUGUAGGGCGCAAUGAAAACGGCGAAGUACCGAAAGAGGUGCUUCGACCAAAUAGAAGGUAUUGUGGCCGAGAAUAAGGCCCUGUCCGCAGAGGUGGACCGUCUGCGGUCGGAGAUUGGGGAGAAAGUAGCCGAGAAGAGCGCUCAGGAAGAGCACUGUCUCGAGCUUACCCGACGCUUAGCCGACCAGUAUCGGCUGCGAGAAAGUUAGUCUCGUACUUUUAGGCGGCUGUAUGUGACCGCGUUAUUUGAAUUUGCUGAUCUGGGAAUUAUUCGUGCAGACAUGGAGGAGGAGGUCGCGCGCCUUCGGUAGGAGAAAGAGCAGCUCAGCCAAGAGCUUGCCGGGGCACUGGAGGACGGACGCCGAGCAGAGGAGGAGCUGAGCCGGAAGGACCGGGAGUUGUCUGGUAAUACGCACCGCCUCCGUUAUUCGUCGUUUAUCGCUCUUUUAUUUUUGAUACACUGAAUCUAACAUCUUGCUUGACUUGCAGUGCUCAAGGUGAACGCCAAGAAGCACCUGGACGAGCUGGUCAGGGACCGGGACUCCUGGAAGGUCAAUUGUUGUAAGAUCUGGAAAGGAGUGUCCCCGGUCCUAGACUUGAUCAGCCCCGAGCUCCCGGAGAGCCAUCCCCGCGCACCGAAAUUGACGCCAGUUGAAAAGGCGCAACGGGCGUGGGACUGGCUUCAGCAGUUCGUGAAGGACGCUGGGGAGUUUGCUGGUGCGCACAUCCUUAGCAUGGUGCACGCCCACUACCCCCUGGUCGAUUUGACCAGGCUGGAGAAGGGGUACCCCAAGGAGGUCGGCCCGCAGGAGGCGGACGAGCUUCGGGGUGGUCUGCUGGACUUGUCGUCGACGGUGAUCGGCGACAUCAACUUAUGCGGAACGGCCACUCCCCCCGACCAGCCAGGUUCAGACAGGUCGGCCAGGGAGCUGUCGGGCGCGUCUAUUGUGGGAGAUGGGCGGUCGACGCCUGCAGUCUCGACCAGCCAGGCGCCGGUGGAACCGACCCCUUCGUCCGGGUAGCAAGGCCAGGCGGGUGAUCAGCCCGAGUAGUAGGCCAGUAGGAUAGCCUGUAGGAGUAGACUAGUGUCCGCCCGUCAGGGUGUUUAUUGUAAACUUUGUAUGUAAAGUUUGUAAUAAAGUUUUGAAUUCGUCAUGACUACUAUUUUGAGCGUUGUGAAGUUGUCGGAGUGACGUGUCACUGUGUUUGAUUCAUGGUCGUUAAGAUUUUCCUUCGCAGAUGAUAUUGUUGUUCUUCACCGAAAACUCUGCGUGUAAACAAAGUAUAGCCAAAAAAAAGAAAAACUUUUAUUACUGCCAACUAUAAGAGACUUACAAGCAAAAGUUACUGGAACUUAUGGAUAAAAUCGGCGCAGUUUGUCUAUGUGCCAAGAGUUAGGCACGCGUGUUCCGUCUGGAUACGCCAAUCUGUAGGAUGUAGGUCGUGUGACUUCGGCGACCACAAAAGGUCCCUCCCAAGGAGUGGAUAGCUUGUGCAUUCCUUCCUGGCUUGUUUUCCACCUGAGUACCAGAUCGCCGACCACGAAAGAACGGUCCUUUAUGUUCCUGUUAUGGUACCGCCGGACUGCCGCAAGAUACUUUGCUGUUCGGAGACAAGAAUUCAGAUGCUUUUCCUCCAUGCAGUUGAUUUUGAGUUCUCUGGCAUUGUCGGUGGUUGACUGGUCGAAAUUUUCAAUCCUAGGAGAACUAAAGGUUAUGUCAGAUGGUAGGACUGCCUCGGCGCCGUAGACCAUGAAGUAGGGUGACACUCCCGUGUUCCGACUAGUCUGGGUUCGGAGGCCCCAGACCACAGCUGGUAACUCUUUCAUCCAUCGACCAGGUGCUUUGUCAUUCUCGGUGUACAGCCUUUUCUUGAGGGCGUCAAUGAUCAUUCCGUUCGCACGCUCGACCUGACCAUUUGCCCGUGGGUGUGCUACUGACACGUAUUUUAUGACUAUGCCCCUGUCAUCGCAGAAGUCCCAAAAUGCAGUGCCAGUAAACUGAGUACCCAGGUCGGUGAUUAUGCUGUUCGGGAUCCCGAAUCUGUGUAUGAUUUGACUGAGGAAUUCCACAGCCUUCUCAGAGGUCGCUUUUACCAGUGGCAUGUAUUCGAUCCAUUUUGAGAACUUGUCGAUUAAUACAAAGACGAACUUGAAGUUACCAGGGGCCGGUUUAAAUGGCCCGAUCAUGUCGAGUCCCCAGCAGGCAAAUGGCCAGGAUGACGGGAUAGUUUGAAUCUCGUGAGCAGGUACGUGGGUCCUUUUAGUGAAGAACUGGCACCCCUCACAGUGUCGGACCAGUUUUUCGGCGUCGUUGACCGCGGUUGGCCAAUAAAAUCCUGCUCGGAAAGCUUUACCGACCAGCGUUCUGGAUGCAGCGUGGUUGCCGCAGGAUCCGGCAUGUAUGUCUUCGAGGAGUUUGAUGCCAUCAUCUUGAGAUAUGCACUUGAGUAGUACCUCGGAGCUUGCAUUUUUUCGCAUGAGUUUGCCAUCCACCAGUAUGUAAUUCUUUGAUCGUCGAAUGAGGCGUUCAUUCUCUGUUUUGUCAUGAAAACCCGUACCAUCCGAUAUAUACUUGAUGAACGGGGCACGCCAGUCACGACCACUGGUUGUCGGAGUGGCAUCGUCUAUGAGCAUGGUUUCCGUGGGUUGCUUUUCGACCAGGCCAGAGCCCAGGCUUGGCUCAUGGAUGUCCUGGACGAAAACACCCCGCGGGAUCGGGGCCCGAGAUGACCCUAACUUCGACAACGCAUCAGCUGCCUGGUUCUUAUCCCGGACCACGUGGAUGUACUCUAUGCCGUAGAAGUUGGUUUCCCAUUUGCGAAUUUCUUUGCAGUAGAGAUCCAUCUUCUCGUGGGUCGCAUCCCACUCCUUGUUGAGCUGGUUGAUAACUAAAGCAGAGUCGCCAUAGACAUAGAGGCGUUUGACUCCCAGCUCAACGGCUAGCCUUAUGCCAUGCAGGCAUGCUUCGUAUUCGGCGACGUUGUUUGAUGCCGGGAAAAGGAUCCUAAGGACGUAACGCAGUUUGUCCUUGUUAGGUGAUACGAAGAGUAUCCCAGCGCCGGCGCCGUUGAUGUUCAAGGACCCGUCAAAAAACAUUGACCAGUGGUCGGAGACGUCGGGAACGGGAGGCUCGUUGAGAUCCGUCCAUUCAGCAAUGAAAUCGACCAGGGCCUGAGACUUGACUGUGGUGCGGCUCUGGAAUUCUAGGGAAAAUGGGCAUAACUCCAUCACCCAUUUUACAAUUCUGCCGUUGGCAUCUUUAUUGCGCAGAAUGUCCCCAAGAGGAAAACUGGUGGUUACCAAGACUCGAUGGCCGUCAAAGUAGUGCUUCAGCUUCCUUGAUGUUAUCAGAAUAGCGUACAUGAGCUUCUGUAUUUGUGGAUACCUGGCCUUGGAUUCGUUUAGGACUUCGCUUAUGAAGUAAACGGGUCUCUGGACCUUGUAGACGUGACCUAGCUCAUCUCGCUCGACCACUAUUGCCAUGGAGACAACCCUGUCGGUUGCUACAAUGUAAAGGAGUAGGUCUUCAUUGGGCUGAGGUGCUGUAAGAACAGGCGGGGAAGUGAGGAAAGCCUUAAGCUGGGUGAACGCAGCGUCGGCUUCCUCUGUCCAGGAGAACUUUUCCGACGCCUUCAAGAGUUUGAAGAAAUGGAGGCCUUUUUCUCCUAGUCUUGAGAUGAAACGGCUGAGCGCGGCCAUACACCCGGUGAGCUUUUGAAUGUCUUUGACAUUUUUAGGUGGUCGCAUGUCAAGUACUGCUUUUACUUUUGAGGGAUUCGGCCAUAUGCCGUCGCGACUGACAACGUUGCCGAGCAGUAGACCAGAAGGAACGCCGAAGAUGCACUUCUUGGGGUUAAGCUUCCACUUGUAUCUAUUAAGCGCCUUAAAGGUUCGGUCUAGGUUGUCGAUUAGGGUGCUUGCAUCUCUUGUUUUGACGACCACGUCAUCGACAUAGGCCUCGAAGAGGUCAUCACAAAUCUCGUCGUGGAGGCAUUGCUGGAUGGCCCGUUGAUAGGUGGCUCCGGCGUUUUUGAGUCCGAAUGACAUGGUCGUGUAGCAAUAUGCGCCGAAAGGAGUAAUGAAAGAUGUUUUUAUCUGAUCGUCCUCCUUUAGCGAGAUCUGGUGAUAGCCAGAGUAGCAGUUUAGAAAAGAGAGGAGUUCGCAUCUGGCCGUUGAGUCGACCACCUCGUCGAUGCGAGGGAGACCAAAAGGAUCUUUAGGACAAUGUUUAUUGAGAUCAGUGUAAUCAACACACAUUCUCCAUUCAUUAUUCUUUUUGCGUACAAGAACCGGAUUGGCGAGCCAAUCGGGGUGAUACACUUCUUUUAUGAAUCCGGCUGCUAGAAGCCGCGUUAUUUCUGUCCUAACAGCCUCCUUUUUGUCACGAGCGAACCGUCGCAGCUUUUGCUUGAUUGGUCUUGCGGUCUUCAAGACAUUUAAGGAGUGCUCGAUCAGGUUUCGUGGGACGCCAGGCAUGUCUGCGGGUUUCCAUGCGAAAACGCUCACGUUGUCCUUUAGAAACCUGACGAGCGCGUCUUCCUAUUUUGGAUCCAGAUUGGCCCCGAUGAGGGCCGUCUUCUCGGGGCUGCCGUCGACCAGCUGCACUUCUUUGUAUUCCUUGGAUUUUGAGUUCUUUCUGGCAGUCUCCUGCUCGGGUAAUGGGAGCUGGUCGGGAGGCAGCUGCGUGGCUUGGGUUGCUGUUUCUGCCAUGCGGAUUGAGAGGUCGAUUGCCUCGGUAAUCUUGAAGCUUUCCUCUUCGCAGGUAUACGCGGUGUAGACGUUGCCUUUGACGGUUAGGACACCCUUCGCCAUAGGCAUUUUAAGGACCAGGUAUGAGUAGUGCGGGACUGCCAUGAACUUUGUCAACGAUGGUCGGCCCAGUAUGGCGUGGUAGGUCCCGUCGAAGUCCGCGACCACAAAGUUGAUGAACUCUGUGCGAAAGUGGUCGGGUGUGCCGAAUUGGACAGGCAAUGUUAUCUGUCCGAGGGGCACUGAACUCUGACCUGGCAAAACCCCCCAGAAUUGAGCAUCGUAGGGUUUUAGUUGUGCAGGAGAUAUUUUGAGGGCGGGCAGACUGUUGCGGAAGAGGAUGUCGAUGGAGCUUCCCCCGUCCACGAGCACGCGCUCGAAUCUGAUGCUGUUGAUGCAAGGGUCCAGGAUCAGAGGGAAACGACCUGGCUCUGGGAUAGCGGCCCACUGAUCCUUCCUGCCGAAUGAGAUCUCCCUGUGUGACCAUGGGGGAAAUUUUGGGUCUGUGAUCAGCCCGUCCGUGCUGUCUAUGUUGAGGCAGGCUCUCUUUAAUAGCUUUCUCUCUCGCUUAGAUUCGAUGGAGACCUUUCCCCCGAAGAUGGAGUGGACCACGUCAGUGGGGCUGACGUAUUGGUGUCAGGGGUCCCUAUCUUGGUCCUCGUCCUCGUCUUCAUGGUCGUGCCCGUCUCGCUUGCCAGUUUUCUUGGUGGAGUCGUCUUGGGCGGCCCACAGUGUGUAGAUGCUUUUGAGGACGCGACACUCCUCCAUGGUAUGGUUAGACUUUGGAUGCAGUUGGCACGGUCCCUUCAACGUUUUGUUGUAGUCUUCUUGGUAGUCCCGCCGCCCGUUGGGACGUUUGACCGUAUUCACUUCAUGGUCGUAGUCGCGGGGGCGUUUUCCUCGGAAAUCGUCGCGAUUGUCGCGGCGCUGAUCCCAACCUUCUCUGUGAUCGCGGUUGUUGGGGCGGCGGUGGUUGCUGUUGUCAUAGUGACCGCGACCGUCAUCUCGCCGGGAAGGCUGGUCGGGACCUCUCGCAUCGUCUCGGAUUAGUUUCUCUACGUCGUCGGCAUCGGCGUAAUUUUUAGCCGUGGCGAGGAGCUCCGCCACCGUUGUUGGCCGUUUGCGCAACAGCUUGUUCCCCAGCGCUUCAUGGAAACGCAAGCCCUUGAUGAAGGUAGAGAUGGCCUCGUCGUGGGAAAUCUUUGGGAUCUUAAGGCGCAUAUCCGAGAAUCGUCGGAUGUAAUCGCGCAGAGGUUCAUUCUUCCUAUCCCUUAUCCUUUCGAGGUCAUACUUGUUUCCAGGCUGCUCGCAUGUGGCGAUGAAGUUGUCGAUGAAAGCCUGGCGUAGCUCUUCCCAAGAGUCGAAGGAGUCCUCGGGCAAGCCAAGGAGCCACUGAUGACCAGCCUGGUCGAGGACUACAGGGAAGUAGUUGGCCAUGACGUGCUCAUCUCCCGCUGCUGAUCGGACGGCAAUUUCAUAGAGAGUGAUCCAGUUCUCUGGAUUUUCCUUGCCGUCGUAUUUUUUAAGUUUUUUGAGCUUGAAAUUGCGGGGCCACACGACCUGGCGGAGGUGUGAGGAGAACUGUCUUAGGCCCGGGGGGCCGUGCGUUGCAUCGUACUCGAUACGGCGCAGGUUUUCGUGGACUGCUCUCUCUGUGGCGCGCCUGUUGAUGCGGUCCCGGGCAUCUUUGGGAGGGAUGUUGUAUCGGAGAUCCCUGUGCUGGUUUACUUCUUGACCGCACCUGCGGUUCUGCUCGCGGUGACCGUUGUUGGCACUUCUUAACGCAACCACCAGAUAUCGGUGAUGGCGCCAGAAAUGCCUGGUGUGGUAACUCUAUUAACUAUUGGAUAAUUCCGCAAGCGCACAGAAGGUACCGCUGUAGCACUUCACCCGGGAGUAUUCCAAGGUAUCGUAAUGUAUAUUUUCCCAAGGGAAAGCAAUAGCUAGAAAUGCUUGUAAGAAAAGAGAUCCUAUCUCAACUUAGUUACAACUAGUGCAGAGAGGUGGUAACGAAAGGUGAAGGAAGGGAUGAUGAUGAUCCAGAGAUAAUCGAAAAGGAUAACUACAAGAUAACUAGAGUAGAGUAGCUAGGUGGGAGGACAACGAGUGAGUACAGGUUCCUAGGAUAUCUAAUUCUACUCUCGUGAACUAAUCUUAAUCAAAUAGCAGAGACACACUAGAUUGAUACCUUACUAAUGGCUGCCAGGGAUAGCCGAGCUGGUAAGACGCUUAAAAGGUUUUUUCACCUAACCCCUUACCGAAAGCGACUAUUGGGCUUAUGGACGCCUUAUCUUUUAAGAACUAGCUCGUACGUGAGGAGAACCUAAUGCCGCCCACGAUCUGUCACCUACUAGGGAGUGCGCCCCUACUUUCCGUCCGAGCCAGCGACACCCAAAGGCAAGACCUAGCCUAAGCACCACGCUUACGCUAACUCUCACUACUCUAGCUACGAUCAAACAACUAUAGCACCUUGCUAAAGGCGAUGGGAAACAGCCACGAGCUUGUUACAGGAUCACAAUCUAAUAUGUAACUACUAAAGGACAAGAUAGAACACUACAAUACUAUUGCAAGAAUAAUAUUGCACAAAGUAAUACUUAGAAAAGUAGAAAGAGAAUAUAUUAAGAAAACAAGUCUUACAGGAGAAAAGAUACAAGAGCUAUACCAGACUCUCCAGAAGACGACUCCGGAGACCCCGAGCUUCGCUUGACUCAACUCUAACUCCCACACUAGACUACUACUACUACUACUCACUUGUAUCUAGCUUGGAUACUUGAACCUUGAAUUCAUCAUGCCCUGGAAGGGUGAAAUCAGCCUCUAUUUAUAGGGAGAGGUGGAGUAGGGGCUACUCCACCGCCACGUCAUCGAUCCGUGUGAUCAUGCCUCUCCACCCUUGGAUCAAACCGACUUCACAACCGCCAUUUGAUCAACGGCCGGGGCAAACCAACACGUGAGACAUGUGGGGAAGGUCGGUGGGAGGCCACCGACCCUGAAACCGCCUUACAUGUGGGGUCAGGCGACCUCACUCCUGACCACCUGGGCCCACCAGCAGUGUCCACAAUGGUCCCUUAUGUCGGUGGAGUAGGUGGCACACCUGGGUCCCACCAAAGAGGGGUCGGGCGACCCCCUCCCUGUGGGCCCAGGGUGUCACCUGUUGUCCCCUCGAUCUCCUCUUGAUGAUUCUGAUGUUGGCUUUGUCAAAUAAUGUCUUGAAUUUGUUGUUCCUGCAUAAACAAGCUAAGAGUACAAGUGGAACUAGUUAUGGAUAAAAUAUGUUCAUGUCAUGUCAUUUCCCUUUGCAACUGAGGCAUGUUGACGGUGUUUUGUAUGUGGAUUUCUAUGGUAUAUCCACCGUCAACAAGAUCCCCCAAGCUUAACCUUUGCUCGUCCCGAGCAAACAAUCAAACUUAGCCUCGGUGGAUCAGGUAUUGUUACUAUGUUCACAUUUCAAGAGUACCAUGUGUACAACAAAGUUCUUCUCUUUGCAUGAAAAAUUUAGCUAUGUAAACUUACCCAUAUUACCUUAGUCCCUUAUGGGGCUUAUGGCUUUUCCUUUGUCUUAGGUGGUUGAAAGACAGAACAGUUUGACUUGAGCACUAACUUUCUCAUUCUUAGCAAGUUUCAUAUCAGAGGUUUUGUGAUAUUUUCAAAAGAAAACUUAAAUGUUCCUCAUAUGGUUCUCUCAUGUCACUCAAAUGGUGUAUAAUUCCUCACCAAGGCAUAUGAUAGAGUUGCCUUCUCUAUUUCAUCCUAUUUCUAAAAGGCUUAUGUGGAGCUUAAGGUAGGGAUGAAAGGAGAUAGCAUACUUACUUUGCAUGUGUUGCGAAGUCAAAGCUCGGAUCCUUGAAGAGAAGUGUCAUACUCCCAGAUCAAGAUGUGCAAGUGUGAUAUAUGGUGGACUAGGUUGCUCCUUUAUUUGCUACACUCUCUCUACCUGUAUAUUGAGACAUGGCUAGCAUUUUCUUUUUCUUCGAGCUUUAUGUGCUCAAUAUUUUUUUUUUGUGGACUUGCACAUGUCCAUCUUUUUAUUUCAUUUUGCCUAGGCUUUUGAUGUCUCAUUUACCAAAUAAUGCUUAGAGAGAGAUAUUCUAACAUUUAGAGUAUGGAGCAACCUAUUUAGUGGAUGCGAAAUACAUGUGGUUGCGUACUUCCAGUGUAGAAGCAGCAUAUAUAUAUGUGGUGUGUACGUGAUCUUGAUCUUAGGAGCAUGAAAAGUCUCUUAACAGGGGUCAACAAGACUUGGCGACACUCAACACAAAGCAAAUAGCUUAUGUGGAAAGGUUGCAAUCAUGUAAAGUAGAUAUAGCUGUGGUAGGAAUUCAUCACCAUUGAGGAACAAUUAAGGUUUUGAUCAUUUUAAGAAUAAAUCUCUGAUAAUCAUGCAUGCUUAGAAUAAUAUUAUAGCAGCUCUUGUCUCACUAUCUCAUGUCCCACAACAACUUAGACUUAGUUCUAGCACUUGCAACCCACAAAGUUUUCAGGUUCAUGGCAGUUUAAGUGAGCUAAGUGAUCCAUACUUGGAGAAAUACUAAGUUGUAUACUAGGUACUAGAGAAACAUUAACAAGCAACUAGUCAUCAUUUCCAUGAGGGAUAUAGACAUACAUGAAGCAUAUAUGCUAAAGGGAAAUGCUAAUUUUUUUUUUAGAGCAAGAAUGAUAAAAUGCAUGGAAAUAAAUAGGAUAGAAUACUUACCUUGGUGGGGGAGAGGAUCUCCCCCAAGCUUGUCCUUCCUCACUGGGGUGGAUACGAUGGAUAUGGUGGAUAUGGUGGAGGAUAUUGCUGUGGAGGAUAUUGUGCAGGAGGAGGUGGAUAUGCAUGUGGUGGUUGAGGAAUGUAUGGUGGUACGGGCAGGUGAUAUGAUGUGUAGGCUUGGCACCAGUUUCUACUGCUGCUCUCCUCAAAAUUUUGGAUUUGCUGUUGGGUUUCCACAGUGGCAGUGUGAAUGGCUUCAUGGUUAGUACGCAAUGUAGCCAUACCUGAUCUGAGUAGCUCCAUGUCAUGACGGUGACUGCGGUUUCCAAUCUCCUGCGAAGAAGAAAGAGACAACCGGGCACUACGUCUCCUCCCCGUCCCGGAGGUGUGCAUGUUAUUGGAAGUGCCCUCAUUAUCUGAAUCAUCUUGCUGUUCAGCUCGUGACUGUCCACGUGUGAAUGGCCCUGCAAAACUUCUACGUCCUCCAACUCCAGGAACAUUAGGCAUUAACGGGUGGCCCCCGUAUAAUUUUAACUCUGGUUGUGGCAAAAUGAGUCUUGCAUUUGAUUUACGCAAUAUAAAUUCAAUUGUGUCAUUGGGGCCACGCGUAAUUACUUUUGCUUGAAUGAAAUGAUAUUUUCCUAACACAGUUCUAGGAGUGGGUAUGUACUGGAUGGUGUCAUCAAGGAUCAAAAUGUAAUCACACAAUUUUGUAAUUAUAGAGGUGAACUCAAUUGGGUCAUUCUUCCGUGCUAUAGUGAUCCAAUGAUGUACCAUGGCUUUUACCGGUGCAAUACGAAUUCUAUUCACCAUGGCAUAUAGAAUUCUAUUAUCAAUUUCCCGCACAAUCCGAAUGUCAUCUCUAGGGAAUAGAGUGAUGCCUAUCCAUUUGUGCAUGAACCGUAGUGUGGGAUGGCAAAUAUGGCUAGUAUGUGGGUAAGUCUUUCCAAUUAGAUUCUCCCCAGUUAUUUCAUGCCAAAAUUCUUGUCUAUUAAAACCCCUUGUGGCAACUUCUACGUUGGUUUUAAAAUUCAUAAAGCCUAAACAUGCAGCUAGAUGGUCCCAUGUGAAAUCAUAAUCUUGGUUUCUUAGGCGAAAGUAAAUGGUUGUUUCGGUUACCCUUACGGUGCUCAAAAAUUCUAGAGUGAGAAUCUUGCUACCUAGGUGUUCCGAAAAGUCCCAAAAUUCACCCCAUCCUAUUGCAGCAAAGACAUCAAAGAAUUCCUCAUACAUACCUGUGUCUUUGAGGAAUUUAGGGUCAAUUACCUUGGUAUGCUUGAAUUCACGGUGGCGUAGAUGGUUAAGCUUCUCCAUUUCUUCUACGGUGAGCAAAAGUCCGGUCUCUAUAUCUUGCAUCCGUAGAGGUGCUGCUUCUUCAUUAAGUGGUGUUUGCUGUGGCAUGGCCUCAUGCUCUUGCUCCUCAUGAGUCUCAGAGGGAAGUCCCUGAUGAGAGGAGUACUCUUCUACCGAACUCAUGGUGCCAUGGGAGUGCCUUGAUGAGCUUCCGCUAAACGCUCCACGCACUUUCUUCCCUAUGUUCUUGAGUGGAUUCUUCAUGCUAGAUCAAGAAAAUAACGAACACCACUUCCACCAGAGAGGUUAGUUUAGAUUUUAACUCUUCUUACCGGCUGAUUACCUCUCUUGAUUUCUCGACGGGUGAACACUUGAGCAAUAGGGAAAGUGAAAGGAAGAGUGUUGAUGAUUUUCUUGAGUUGCUAGUAGAGGAAAAUGGUUGUGAAUGAGUGAGUGGAUGGAAGAGAGGACAAGUGCAGAGGGCACUUUGUCAGGGUCGGCCGACCCCUCUUUUUCCACGAAACCACAAAUGGCCAACACCUUGUGUCAAGGAAAGAUGGAUGGGAAAGAAAGAAAUAAGGAAUGCUGCAGGGAGGGGGUCGGGCGACCCCAUCACCACCUCCUCUUUGCGCUAGCUGUUCACCAGAUUGAUGAUGAAUGUGUGCCAUGGCUGGUUCCCCAUCUCCACUCACUCUCUCCUUUCUUUUGGAUGUUUUCUCAAAGAAUCUCUUCUUGGAAUGUGGUGAAAGAGAAAGGAGGGAACAAGACAAGACUAGAUGGGUGGAUGUUUGCUCAUGAGAUGCUUCACGGGAUGAGCUUCUCAAAAUGUUGAUUUACUUAAGGCUUUAAGCAAGUAUCUUUCCCAUACUUAGCAAGAGUGAUUUGUCUAGGGGUUGCUUAAGUGACUUUAGAAAGAAGAAGAUGGUUUUUGUUAAGUUAGCAGUGUCUCCUAAUUUCACUUACGUUUUAGUGGAAGCAGGGGAUGAAAACUAGAAACUCUAGCUCCUAGGGUGAGUGUCGAUGUUUAUGAGUCUUUAUUUCUAUACUCACUCUCCCUACAUUACUUGUGCUGCCAUACACCAGAGGAGGGGAGGAAGUGGGGCCAACCAUGGGGUCGGCCGACCCCUCCUCUCACUCUUGAGUAAUGCUGGGCACACUACACGAGUAACAGAACAAGCACAUGCAAGAAAAAUAGAUGAAAGAGUUAGAGAAUUCUCAUGCACGGUUCAAUUCGUUGAUCAAGUGGGAUUACAUGAGUUGACAUGGUAAUGUUUUGGUGUUUUCUUGAAUGGAGCAUAGCAUGUCAUGAUAGGAAGUGGCAAAGGACACGAGAUGAUAGGUGGGGGCCACCAAAGUGGGGUCGGGCGACCCCCCUUUGGGCCCCACCUGGUGUCCACCUUGCUCAGUGAGUUUUUAUUUUUACUUUACUUGUCUUAACUCAAGUUGAUAGAAGGGUUGGAAAAGAUGAAGGAAGUUUAAUAAGUAACUUAAAGUUAAAGGUCAGUGGGCUUACCUUGAUGGAAGAGCUGUUACCUCAGGUCCUUAGAACAGGACCUCCUCCUUGAGUUGAUACAGAAAUUUUCUUCGGAGGUGUCAUCGGUUGUAUUACCUUCUUCUUCCAUAUUUUCUUGCUCUUUGCUCUUGGCGUUGGAUUGGUCUUUUUCUUUGGCCUAGUUAUGAAUGUGACGGUUGCCACAUCCACUGCCAAGAUUAGUGAGCAUUGCACUACCUUUGGUUUGAAGUUGAACUUCUCCUGGGCCCCAUUGAUUGUAAAUUGAAUUUCUCCGGCUCCAACGUCAAUAUGUGCAUUAGCAGUGCUGAGAAAUGGUCUUCCCAGGAUAAGUGGAGUCUUUUCAUCCACCUCCAUGUCGAGUACCACGAAAUCCACAGGGACCAGGAACUCGCGUAUCUUUACGGGGAUAUUCUCAGCUACCCCCGCAGGAUGGCGAAUUGACUGAUCCGCUAACUGCAAAUGUAUUGAUGUAGGGGACAAAACAGCAUGGGUUAGUUUAUCAAAUAUUACCUUUGGCAUGACACUGACACUUGCUCCCAAGUCGCACAGUGCAUGCUCGAAGUGAUGUGUCCCAAUGGAGCAGUCGAUGGUAGGACAUCCAGGGUCCUUCUUCUUUUCUGGUAGUUGGUUUAGUAUCGCCGCGCUGCAUUCUUCUGUUAGCUUAAUCACCUCAGUUGUAGGCAGCGGGCGUUUGUUGUUGAGGAUGUCUCUCAAAUACUUGGCAUAGGUUGGAACCUGCAUUGCAUCAAGUAGUGGAAUAUUGACAUAUAAUUGCCGAAUUACCUCAACAAACUUCCCGAAUUGUUCAUCGGUGGUUGGCUUCCUUGUUCUUGGAAAUGGCAGCAGAAUGUUGGUGUCGUAGAACUCGUGCGGAGCUGUCUUUCCAUAGAACUUGGUGUUUUCCUGCUUAGAUGGUGCUUCUUCCUUGUCUUCCUCAACUUCCUUAUCUUUUCUUGCAGUCUUUUUUGUCAUGUCAGGAUAUGGUGGAUCACGAGUGGUCUUACCCCCUCUCGUGGUCACAUUAAAGAUAUUGCAAGAAUUUACAGAAGAAGGAACAGUAGCAGCAAUUUGUGCUAUUUGAGACUCUAAAAUUUUAUUAAAGUUUAAUUGGUCCUUAACAGAAGAAACAAGGGAAUCCAUUUUAGCAGUUAAUGAUUCAAGAGUCUUGUCAUUAGCUAACAAUCUUUUGUUCAUGCUUUCAUUGAUUUUAGCUUGCUUAAUGACAAGUUCUUUAAGUGAAAGCCAGUUAGAGUUACUAGAGUUACCUUGGCCCUGGAAGCGCGAAGUUGGUCGUCCAUUGUUGAAGGAUUGCACAGCUUCAUGGCUUGCAUUUUGCACCCUGCUCCGUUGGUUCGCACGUGCAGUGGCGUAUUGUUGGAUGGCCUCUCGAUAUUUCUUUACCUUGGCUCGUUCAUCCAACUUCUUCAACAAGAACUCCAUCUUGUGAGAUAUUUCAUUUACCUCUUCAAUGGUUUUCGUGCUUCUCUUCUUGAGUUGAGGGCGUUCUUCUCUCCAUGUUUGAUUUGUCACUAUGUUCUCAAUGAGAGUUUUAGCUUGAGUGACAUUGAGGGAGGUAAACGCUCCUCUUGCGGCGGCAUCAAGGUGGCUACGAGCUACUGGAGUCAGCCCAUGGUAGAAACCUUGAAUCAGGAGCCACUCUUUAAUUCCAUGAUGUGGACACUCUUGAAUGUACUCCUGCAGACGUUCCCAUGCUUCGGGAAUAGUCUCGUCUGCCUUCUGUUGGAAGCUUGAAAUCUUUGCCCUCAGAGCAGAUGUCUUGCCCAUUGGGAAGAAUUUCUUGAGAAAUACAUUGGCACAUCUUCUCCAGGUGUUGACAUCAUCGGGUUGAGCGUAAAACCAUUGCUUUGCCUUCCCAAGCAAUGAGAAUGGGAAUAGGCGAAGGCGGAUGGCGUCGGCCGUUACCCCUCUGAUGGCAAUAGUGCUACACACUUCCAAAAAGUGUUGGAGAUGUGCAUUUGCAUCUUCAUGUGGCUUCCCACUAAAUGUACUUGCUUGCACCAUAGUGAUAAGUGAUGGCUUAAUCUCAAAGUCGACAUCUUCGACCUCCACCCUCGGUCCAAUGGUAACAUGGGCAACUGAUGGAGAUGAGAAGUCGGAGAUUGAUGAGGAAGCCAUUGACUGGUAGAGUGUCGGUGCUAAGCCUCCUUCCUUGAGUGAAUUCAAGUAUGAGCUGGAUCUCCGAUAAGUUACUAGACGGUGUCUAGGACUCUGUCGGGAUGUCUCAGGAUUUUCUAAUGUGGCCUUGAAUUGGAACUCACUCAUACAAUGCCCUGCUUCACAAUAUAGAGAAACAAAGGCAAGGGGUAAACCCCCCCCUACAACUAAUUGAUACUAAGUUGAUGAUAUUUUUUUUUCGGAUUCGUUCUUACUAAGAUUUCUAGGCUAUGCUUUCCCCGGCAACGGCGCCAGAAAUGCUUGUUGGCACUUCUUAACGCAACCACCGGAUAUCGGUGAUGGCGCCAGAAAUGCCUGGUGUGGUAACUCUAUUAACUAUUGGACAAUUCCGCAAGCGCACAGAAGGUACCGCUGUAGCACUUCACCCGGGAGUAUUCCAAGGUAUCGUAAUUUAUAUUUUCCCAAGGGAAAGCAAUAGCUAGAAAUGCUUGUAAGAAAAGAGAUCCUAUCUCAACUUAGUUACAACUAGUGCAGAGAGGUGGCAACGAAAGGUGAAGGAAGGGAUGAUGAUGAUCCAGAGAUAAUCGAAAAGGAUAACUACAAGAUAACUAGAGUAGAGUAGCUAGGUGGGAGGACAACGAGUGAGUACAGGUUCCUAGGAUAUCUAAUUCUACUCUCGUGAACUAAUCUUAAUCAAAUAGCAGAGACACACUAGAUUGAUACCUUACUAAUGGCUGCCAGGGAUAGCCGAGCUGGUAAGACGCUUAAAAGGUUUUUUCACCUAACCCCUUACCGAAAGCGACUAUUGGGCUUAUGGACGCCUUAUCUUUUAAGAACUAGCUCGUACGUGAGGAGAACCUAAUGCCGCCCACGAUCUGUCACCUACUAGGGAGUGCGCCCCUACUUUCCGUCCGAGCCAGCGACACCCAAAGGCAAGACCUAGCCUAAGCACCGCGCUUACGCUAACUCUCACUACUCUAGCUGCGAUCAAACAACUAUAGCACCUUGCUAAAGGCGAUGGGAAACAGCCACGAGCUUGUUACAGGAUCACAAUCUAAUAUGUAACUACUAAAGGACAAGAUAGAACACUACAAUACUAUUGCAAGAAUAAUAUUGCACAAAGUAAUACUUAGAAAAGUAGAAAGAGAAUAUAUUAAGAAAACAAGUCUUACAGGAGAAAAGAUACAAGAGCUAUACCAGACUCUCCAGAAGACGACUCCGGAGACCCCGAGCUUCGCUCGACUCAACUCUAACUCCCACACUAGACUACUACUACUACUACUCACUUGUAUCUAGCUUGGAUACUUGAACCUUGAAUUCAUCAUGCCCUGGAAGGGUGAAAUCAGCCUCUAUUUAUAGGGAGAGGUGGAGUAGGGGCUACUCCACCGCCACGUCAUCGAUCCGUGUGAUCAUGCCUCUCCACCCUUGGAUCAAACCGACUUCACAACCGCCAUUUGAUCAACGGCAGGGGCAAACCAACACGUGAGACAUGUGGGGAAGGUCGGUGGGAGGCCACCGACCCUGAAACCGCCUUACAUGUGGGGUCGGGCGACCCCACUCCUGACCACCUGGGCCCACCAGCAGUGUCCACAAUGGUCCCUUAUGUCGGUGGAGUAGGUGGCACACCUGGGUCCAACCAAAGAGGGGUCGGGCGACCCCCUCCCUGUGGGCCCAGGGUGUCACCUGUUGUCCCCUCGAUCUCCUCUUGAUGAUUCUGAUGUUGGCUUUGUCAAAUAAUGUCUUGAAUUUGUUGUUCCUACAUAAACAAGCUAAGAGUACAAGUGGAACUAGUUAUGGAUAAAAUAUGUUCAUGUCAUGUCAUUUCCCUUUGCAACCGAGGCAUGUUGACGGUGUUUUGUAUGUGGAUUUCUAUGGUAUAUCCACCGUCAACAACCGUCAGUGUCCCAACCACCAUCGUUACGCCGUGAGUCUUUUCGAUGGUUGUCGGGAGAGCGGCUGCGGUUAUGCCUGCUGGGAGGCGGUGAGGUCCGGCUACGAUUAGUCUGGUCGGAGGUGGCUUCCGUAUAAGACACGUCCUGGACUCUCUUGAGCAGAGUGGCUGUCUGUCCCAUUGUGGCAAUCAGGUGCGCUUGGACGCUGGUUCGGACACCCUGGCACUCAGGGGUAUCAGGGAGCCGAUCUAGAUUAGCCAUGGCGACAGCCACAUUUGCGCUUGACGUUUUGUAGACUGGCUGGUCCCCGACCAUGUCAAAAGCGUCGCUGAGGUUAUGCGGUGGAAUUUGUCGUUGCUCAUCUGCGCGUCGUCGGGCGCGAUCGGCGUUGCGCUGCUCGCGGAGCUGCCUCUGCUCGUCCAUUUCUCCAUCAACGACCGGCUCGUCGGCGCUGACGUUGAAAACAAUGUCCCCUCACCGGGGGGGAAAUACCGGGAAACGAGGGAAACCCGGAGGCUGUGAAGGCAAAUCCAGGUCGUAGUACUCGUCUUCGGAGUUUAUAACUUCGGUGGGGACGGAACCGGUGCUUGAGUUGGUGCUGGAAGCCUGACCGUCCCGUAGCUCUUGGAUCGUCACCAUGUUGACGUAGUGACGAGUAGGUCGAUCGUUCCUUUUCGGCGGCCAAUCUGCCUUGCUGAAAACGAAUUGGAUGUGCCGUGAGUAGAGAGAGGCUGAGUUGUUCAGGCCGCAAGGAUAAUCUUCCUCCUUGAGCUUGACGGUCCGUCCUGAGGGAGUUGAAGUUAUCGUCAGAGACAUUCCCAGCCGUUCGUGUGUAACGACACGAGUUGGCCGGUGGGAUUUGAAAAAAUCCGUUGAAGCGGCUUGAUCGGGCUGGCGCAGGAUUCCAUCUACUAGUUGAGAGGCUUCAAGUAGCUUGGAAUCAGCGCGAUCAAGCGCUUGAAGAAGGUCCGAGCAGUCGAUCUUAUUUCCCUUGUAGAGCGGGAACGGUGGUCGGGCGCUCGGUGCCACCAUCCGAGUGGUCGGAGGCGACGUGAUCUCAGAUUAGAUCUAGGUUUCUUUCGAAACCGUGGUCGUAAGGCCACCGCCGCGCGUCGUCCACGUGAUCUGGCCGACGGUGAACGUGAGGCCUCCGGGCACGGUCGCGGAAGCUGCGAUUGUGACCAUCUUGUUCGCCGGAGAAGUUGCACGCACACCCCCUACCUGGCGCGCCACUGUCGACGAAAGCUGGUCGGCAGUCUACCUUGGGGUAUACCCACGGUAGUAGUUUAUCGGUAGACGGUGCGCAAAGAACGAACUCGAUGGUGACGCAAGACACAGGUAAGCUUUUGAUCCAGGUUCGGCCGCCGAGUUGGCGUAAUACCUACGUCCUGCGUCUGGUUGCAUUGAUUUGUGUUGAGAGAAUAUGAUGUCCUAGGAGGGUCCCUUGCCUCUCCUUAUGUAGUCCGGAGGGCAGGGUUACAGAUCUGGAAACUAAUCCUAGUCGGUUACAAUUGCCAUAGAUAGUUCGAUAUCAAUUCCUAUUCUAACCGACUAGAAUCCUGCUUGAUCUCCACGUCUUGUGUCCUUACGCGAAACUCCAAGCUGUCAGAUCAAACCUUGAGCUUGUCUCGUAAUGGGCCAAGCCUCCUGGCCCAAGUCUAGCCGUAAGGGUAUAGGGGUCUAUACCCCCACAGCUCGCGAGCGGAGGGAGGAAGGAGAAGGGCGCGGGCAACAGGAUGGAGGGAAUGGCCUGGGAGCCCGAGCCGGCGUCCCGACUAGGGGGGGCUGGAGGCCGGCCGCGGCACGCUCCUCGCCGGCGUACAGCCGCCACGUGGCCGACGCUGGCUGGGACGAGGCGCGUCCGCGCGCGCGGGAGAGAGGGGGAGGGGGAAGCAGGCCGGGCCGCUCGCUGGGCCGAAAGGGAGGCGGUGUUGGCCCAGCAGCGCCUGCCCCUUUUCUAUUUUUUUUGAAUUUCUUUUCUCAAAUUCUUUUCUAAAUUCAUUUGGACUAAUUUAAAAUCAUUUUCACCUCUUGCCCCCAAAAGCAAAGUUGUUCCAAAACAAAAACCCUACAACUUUGUUUUAAUAAGCAAGACUAAAUUCCAAAUAGAAUUUGAAUUACAAAUUAAAACUAGUUCUAGGUUUCCAAAUAAAUUCAUUUUGGAGAUUUUUGUAUAAAUUCCAUUUCUCAAAUUCUAUAGCUCCAAAAAUUGCACAAAAAUAUUCUUAAUUCUUCUUACACAUAAAUCACCCUAGUUUGAAUAUUUCACAUUUUUAGAAGCAAGCAUCAUAUUUUUAUCAUAAUUAAAACACAUGAAAUAAAGCACAUAAAAUCAUGUUUUGAGAUGAAUGACAUGCUCAUGAUGCUAUGCUUGAUGAGAAUGCUUAUGCAUGUUAUGAUAGGGCUAAAUGCAUGCUUAACACCUAGGGUGUUACAGGGGUGGGCACCGUGGCCCAUCGGGCUCCAUGCGGCUGAGGAGGAGAAGAGGAGGAAGGAAGAGGAGGAGAGGAAGAAGAAGGAAGAGGAGAAGGACGGGGACAACGACACAUCACUGCCGCUCGGUCCACUUGAGAAGGGAGUUCCAACCUCGAGCCCACAGCAGCAACAACAGCAGCAGCAGGAGCAGCAGCAGUAGCAACAGCAGCAACAACAACAACAACAACAACAGCAGGAUCAGCAACAACAGCAACAGGAGUCGUGGGAGUUGGAGCUGCCGACCUAUGGCCUCGUGACUCUCGCGUGGUUGAAGCCGGGGCAACCAACUUCUCAUCCCGCUGAGCCAGGUCAGGAUGACUGGGUCAUGGCUCUGGCUCACCUUGCGCGUCCGCCGACCAACGUGGAGUUGGAGCCUCGGAGGACCACGUAUGGUCCCAAGGGGGUCGCCCCAGGUUACUUCGUGAGCAAGGCACCAUGGGCAGACGAGGCUGGCCCCUCUGAGUUUGGAGAAGAAGAUCAAAGGUUUCCCACAUUGGUCAAUCUGAUGUUGCGUCAUGGGGGCACGACUGAGUUCGCGGAGAACAUUUUGCGCUCGGUGAAGGAGCGGGCCAAGGAGGAACUUCCUUACUGGGGGACCCAAAAAUUCUGCCUCUUGGACACAGUCCUCUCAGAAGAAGCGUUGCUCGAGAUGGACAACCGCGCCGAGGUCGAGAAGUGGGAGAACGUAGAGGAGCUGCGACUUUGGCUGAAGCAUGCUCUCGACUUGUCCAUCAACAUCAUCAGCAAGGAUCUUCCCAAGGCUUUCUUCAUAAAUGCCCUCCUUCCCAUGUUUUUUAGUGUUGUAGGUUUCAGACACACUCCUACUGACAUCUGCCCUUGCACUUUCUUCCUCACGAUUUGAAGGAGACCUCCCGGGAGAAAUCAUGCAUUAUUCAUGCGACCAAGGGUGGAUGGGAGCAGGUUUUCGUUCUGGAGCACAUGCUCCUUUAGUCUCAGGAGACGCUUCUCAAGCGGCAAAAGGAGCUACUCCAAGCCCUGAUAGAUAAACAAAAGAAGGAGGAUGACCUGGUCGAGGCUCGAGGUGCCUUAGCAACGAUGAAUGGGAAGAUUUACAUCGCCUAAGAUGACACCGAGAAGGCCAAGGUGGAAGCUGAGAAGGCUUGAGAGGAAGCCGCCCAAUCCAGGGAGGAAGCCACCAAGGCAAAGGAGGGCAAGAAGGAGGCGGAACAGGACGUCCUCCUACUCACUGAGCGGGUUUAGCCACUACAAAAGAAAGGUACAUCGAUUUAGCCACUGCAAAAGAAAGGUACACUGAUGUGAAAACGCUGGCCAUGGAAUAUGCGGCUAUGAAAGGCGUUGCUCAGGAGGAGGAGAAAAAGGCUAAGGAGGAGCUCAAAAAAGAGAGGAGGCACUCCCGUGCUUUGGCCAGUGAUGUCGAUCAGCUAUAGAAGAUCCUGUAGGAGGAGGGAGCCAUUGCCGCGUCAGGAAAGCUGAUCGAGGACCUACGGGUCAAGAAGUCAGAGAUGGCUAGCUCCUUCGAAAGGGUCGAGAAGGUGAACACUAACUUGGUCAGCAAGAACACAUCCCUCGACGAGCGUAUGAAAGGUCCUAAUAAGGCUAGAGGGGGGUGAAUAGCCUAUUUAAAAAUUCUACAAACUCACUAGAGCAAGAGGUUAGUAAAUAACAAAGCAAAGCUUUUUGCUCUAGCUAUAAAGGAGUGUUUGCAAGCUACCUAUCCAACAAUUCUAGUUGUUAUGAUCACUAUUGAUGAGGACAUCGCUACGCUAGAUACGUUGACACCAUCAUCUUUUCCAAGUUGCAAUUCUUCUCCAACUCAGCUACCACGUCACUCUUAGAUUCAACAAACAUGUCGUCAGUGUUUUGAUCAUAACUUCUUCAUACGACAUCGAAACGGGGUGAUCUUGGACUCGUUGGAAAGGGGACAACGACGCCGUCAUUUUGGAUCUGUUCCCAGCUCCACACCUUUCAUGGAUUAAUCGUUAUGUCCAUGACAAAAUGCUACGUCACCUAUUUUGCGCCAACUUAGUCAUGUAUCGAAUUCGGGCCUUAAGCCCAUGUUGUGGGUGCCUCCCCCUGGUCGCCUCCAACCCUAGGUCGCUUCUCAUUUAUAUUCCAUGCAGCCGUCAUUGAUUAGACUUGGGUUUUGUUUACAGUUUAGUUUUCCAUCGAGAAACUGAAUCGUUCAUUGUAAUUGUGGUGACAAAUCCUUUUACAGUGAUCCAGGGCCCCCGUUCUUGAUCUCCUCCACUGUGUCGAUUAGUCCUUUGGAACCGAGUUCUUGAACCCUCAUUGAAUAUUUGUGUCAUUCAUAUCUGCAAUUUUAGAUUGCGUGUUUAUACUUUCUUGCUUGUGUUCUUCGAUUCGCUUGCAGGAAUAGCCUUCUUGGCGAGGUCAAUCAAGUUGUGCAUGGUUGAUAACCAAUGGAGCAGUGGUGUAACGGUUGCAGGGUUUGAAUCAUGCUGAUUUGAAGCCAGAUUGCCAACGUCGUGUUCUCCACAAUCAAAUUUACCAGUUACCUCUCGGAAGAUCAGGCCUGACCCUCAUCUAUCAGAUAUCUCAGGUUUACCAUAGGGUAUAAUCUCGUUUGCCCUAGAUUCAUAUUUGUUCAUUACCUACAGUCCACAAAAAGCCCAAAAAAAUUUCAUUUUCUGUUGUCCUAUCACUCAUUGUGCCUUGCAAUUUCGUUUUCAGAUUUGCUUUGUUGAGUUUGUGUCCGUGGUUGAGUCUAGUUGCUGGUUUUGAUUGUGUUCGUCGUCGUAGUUCAUUUGCACCGUUGAUGUUCUUAGCUUCCGCCGCUAUCCUAUCCACUAUUUCCAAACAACAAGUCAAAGCCAUCACAUUACUCGACUUGCCUCCACUAGCUGCCUUGUGUGAUCUCUCGCCGCCGCGCUAACUUAGAUAGGUUGUCAGCCGCUGUUAUUUUGCCUACAUCGCAGCCCUCCUUACAUCUUCAUCAGGUGAAUACCUACUGCUAUUAGUCACAGGGAUGAUUCAUCCUGUGAUCGGUGUUGGAGUUUAGGGACACUUUGCCCUAACUGCCGCCGCCGCCGACGCCAUGUUGUGCCUUCUGAAAAACAUAACUUGAGAUACCUUCGGUAAAAUAGGCAUAACUUUUUGCUCGUUUAUUAAAAAAAUAUGAAAUUCUUACAGCAGCUUGUUGACAUCAUUUGAACCCGACCCAAACUUGGCUUCGGUCUGUUUGGUCUCAGAAAAAUUGCCAAAAAAUUCAGGAAAAUAAAGAAAAAAAUUGACAAGGGUUUUGCACGCUUUUCGAAGAACUUGCUGAAGUUCUGUAGACCACAUCUGAUCUCAGUUGUAGUUGCCUAUUUUUGUGGUUACAUCUUUUCUGAUCCUUGUUCAGAGAAAAAUAUAAACAAAUAGUGAAAAAAUAAAAAAUAUUGAUUCCUACAAGUGCCUUUUGGGAAAAUCCAAGAAAAAUCAGGAUAAAAGAAAAUUCUGCUCUAUUGCUUGUUUGCUGAGUUCCUUCCAUCGUACCUUGUUGCACUACGUCUAGACACGUCUUAGCCAGCAAUUGUGAUUUGUCCUUUGGAUACUUAUUGAACUUAGCUAACUCUGCAUUCGAAUAUUGCUAAUCCUUGCUACUUAAAUUGUGCCUGUCCAAAGCUCCACAUAUACUUCUGUCAGCAUAGGUUCAUCUUGCAACUGUUUACAGACGCUCAAUAACAGAUUACUUUGCCAAUUUGGUUUUGCUCCUGUUUGGCUUUGGUAAGAACACUUGUAAGACGGUGGUAAGCCGCUUCUGAUUUUGUAUUCCACUUUUACCACCACCACCACCUCUUGGUUCCUUUUAGUUGAUAGGGAUAAUCCUUUGCUGUUGUUUUUCCCUAUUUUCUAACUAUGGCAAGAUCUUCGACGGAUUUCAAUGAUUGUCUGUCCAAGGGUGAACUUACAGCGUUCAUCACUGAACAACGUAAUCUUAUGACCGAGCUGACAUGCAAUGUGAACAAUCUAGUCACCCGCAUUGAACAGAUUGAGCAACGCCCUUGUUGACACCAUUUUUGGACACAUAUCUUUUGAUACGUACCUGGCUCGGCAGAUGGAGCAAUGGUGACUAGUCUACAAGGGAGUUGUCGAUGAAGGUGGUUGCCGAUGGGGAAACAACCGAAUAUAACCAAGUCCAGAAGUGGUGACGUGUUCGUGCUGAUGACCAGUGCCGGUGUUUGCCGAUGGCUAUAACAAGUAGUCUGCCGAUGACUCUGAAGAAAAGCGCGGAGGUUGCCGAUUGAUUCGUGGCAGUGUCCCGAUCAGUUACGGGGGAUAGUUUAAUGUUUUCCUUAGUUAUUAGGAUUCGUUUUUUAUACGGAUUCCGUUUAAAUUGGAAUUUGAGUUCUAGUCGUGUCUGGUUGUAGCUCCUUAGGACAGGGUAUAAAUUUAGACCCCGUGGCAAUGCAAUAGGCAAUCUAUCAAUCAAUCAAACACAAGUUUUUACUCAUAUUCCAGUAUCUACUUUUUCGACGACUUCGUCAUAUUUUCCUUUUAUUACGAGUUCUUAGAAAUUCAUCGAGUCAAACUCGGUGCGUUCUCAAGUUCCGCGUGAGCACGUCUUGGCCGUGACAUCCGGGCGCAUCGCUAUUGUCGGGACCAAAGUGUUUGAGUUACCACCUUUGUCGAUUGUAAGGUCAAAUUGGCUGGCACGCUUUAACGUUUGAAUCGGGUAUUAGCCCUUUGUGUUUGCAUAUCAGCUUUUGCACCAACACAUCUUUUGGCACGCCCGGUAGGAUAGAGAUUCAAGAUCAAGAUCAACUUGUCGAACACUGAUUUCGACUUGGAGAACGGCAUCCCCGUGACGGAAGCCAAUCUCAGAGAUGAGGAGAAGCAAGCUAUGGCAAAAGCCAUGGAGGACUACAAGCAUCUAUGCUUGAAAUCCUUCAAUAUCAACAGGAGUGGCGAGGUGAUCUAGAAGGAAGCGUUGCCGAUGCCUCGGCAAAUUACUUUUGAAGCCAAUCGUGGUAAACUUCAAGACAUGGUUGUCAGUGCUAUUAACCGUGCCUUAAUCAAUCAAGCUGGUGUGCUGUCCAACACGAUUUUCAACGCUGUGGCUAGAUCUUUCAAAGAAGGACAAGUACCACCAACUUAUGUGGGUCCUGCCUAUCAUCAGCCGGGGUCAUCAUUGGUCACGGCUCCAUCGGCUACUACAGCCGUUGUGAGUAUAGAAGCUACUUCUCCUCCAAGCACAUUAGGGAUCACUGAUGCGCAGUCUACACCAAUGACAACCAAUCCAUCAACAUCAGAUGGGCAAAUCAAGCUUGCCACAGAUCUAUUGGCAUCGGCAGUGUCAGGGACUGUUCCUCCCAACUGGUGGGGCUAUGGUAUGCCCCCGGAAUUGAUGGCAAAGAGUCCUGGGUCAUCUCAAGUGGCUGACGUGAUAGGCAAGGCUCCUAUGGCAUCGGCACCUCCAAAUCCGCCGAUGAAUCAAAAUCCCCAGUACUCUACAACUACUACUGCAAGACCUUACACUGGGAAUUCUCAAGCUCCAACGUUCCAGAUGCCUAAUGCAUCGGCAGAUCCAAUGGCGACGCAGCAGAGGUUCAUGACACAGCCAGGGUAUGUCAAUUCAAUGAUGAUGCCCAAUUACCAGUCAUCGGCAGGAUCUAUGCCGAUGAAUGCUAACAGUGGAUGGAUAGGGCAGUUAGUCUUUCCACAGAUGCCUCAGCAGAAUCAUCAGGCUGUAGGGUUUCAACAAGGACAAAUCCAACCUAGGUUUCAGAAUCAAGGGUUGGUCAACCAGCCGAUGAAUCUUGGUCAGCAAAUUGGUGGCCAGAUGGUUAAUCCAAUGUUCCAUGCAGAUCGUGCACCUCAGAGACACGUGGAAACUUAUCAGCAGGUGCCAGAUCCACAGCCGCCUCAUCGGCAAGAUGCCGAUGCUUAUUGGGCUGAUAAGAUAGCUGAAGUGAUGAGAGACCAAUUUGGGAUAAAACCCAAAGUCAACACUUACUCUUAUCGGACACUGUAUCCUCCUGUAUAUGACUUAAUUCCACUUCCAAAUCGGUACAAGGUACCAGAUUUCACUAAGUUUUCUAGACAGGAUGAUACAUCGACUAUGGAACAUGUUAAAAGGUUUAUCAUCCAAUGUGGAGAAGCUGCUAACAGAGAUGAGUUAAGGGUUCGCUUGUUCUCCUGGAUCGACUUUUACUUGGUUUAUUUCGUUACCUCCCAACUCAGUAAUCACUUGGGCCGAUCUAGAGAAACAAUUCCACAAAUACUUCUUUUCUAGAGUCCAUGAAAAGAAGAUUACCGAUUUAGUCAGGCUGAAGCAAUGCAAUGAUGAAUCAGUUGAGAGCUUUGUGCAGAGGUUGCGAGAGGUUAAGAAUAAGUGCUAUAGUCUGGUUCUGGAUGAUCGGCAGCUAGCCGAUUUGGCUUUCCAGGGAUUGUUGCCACAUAUCAGAGACAAGAAUGCUUCUCAAGAGUUCGAGAGCCUAAGUCACUUGGUGCAGAGGAUUUCUGACCAAGAUAUCAAACCCUUUGAGCCUAAGAGAGCAUGGAAUAAAAAGGUGUCAUUUGUCGAUGAGGCAGCAAGCUCAGACUCUGAUGAGGAACCAGUCAUCGGCUUGGCAGAGUGGGUAAAAAAUAAGAAGCCGAUGUCUUGCCAUUUUGGGCAUAAAGAGCCAGAGAAAUUUGCAUUUGACAUCACCAAGGCCGAUAGGAUAUUUGACUUUCUACUUCAGGAAGGGCAAAUCAAGUUAUCACCCAAUCAUGUGAUUCCAUCAGCUGAAAAAUUAAAGAAGAUGAAGUACUGCAAGUGGCACAAUGCAACAUCUCACAGCACAAAUGAGUGCAAGGUUUUUAGGCAACAGCUGCAAUCGGCUAUAGAAUCUGGGAGAAUUAAGUUUGACAAUUCCAAAGUUCAGAAGCCGAUGAAGAUCGACCAGCAUCUGUUCCCAACAAAUAUGUUGGAUGCUAAGGGAAAGACCAAGGUUUUAACAUUAGAGGCAGCUGAAAGAAGUGCAUCAGUGGAUCCUUAACAUCAGAUUACUACCGAUGAUGCUAAAGGCAAAGGUCUGAUUCAGGAAGGAACCAGCUCAGGAAGGCUUCCCCGAUCGGUUAUUGUAAUUACUCAUAGAAGGCAUCGGGAAACCAGGCAACAACGUGAAGAUCGGUAUCAGCGCCAACAGGAGGAUUAUCGUCGGAAAGAAGAAAGACGCCGGCAGGAGUGGAAUCGGCAUAAAGAUCAUCGGAAUUGCUCGUUCUUUAUCCACUGUUGGGAACAGAACAUCAAUUUGUCCACUGUUAGAGACUGCCCUGAGUGCAAUGGUUAUGAUUGGUAUGAUAGACCUAAUCGGCGGUAUCAAAACAAUGAUCGGCGAUUUAAUGGGCCGAUUAGGGGGAGAGCUUCGGUUCAUGAUCGGUUGGGGGGCAGGCCCAGUGUGCCUAACAGACUUGGUGAUCGUGUCGGGUACUUUCCCAAGAGCCAAGAAGAAGAUGAAGAAAUGGCGGAUGCAUGAGUACCCGAUGAGUUCAUAUUUUGUAGGGAUGCUAAUACUUAUCGAGUGGAGUCAAGGGAAAAUCAUCGUCCAUCGGUAAGACAGCCGCAAUGUUGUCCAGAGGGGUUGACUAGAACGCAGAAAAGAAGGUUGCAGCGAGAAAGACGAGAAGAUUUGAGCAGAGGGGAGAAUUCUAGCAAAUCUGGAGAUCAGCAGCAGCCGGAUCCUAAAGGAAAAGGGCCAUCGACAGAUGUUAACAUGGUAUUUAUGUUGCCGAUGGAGUUCCUUGCGCCGUCCAGUGAUGAUGAGGAGUUGGAUUUUUCGACCAGAUAGCUCAGUUGGCUCUGGAUCCGAUGACGGCUAUCUUUGAAAAGCCUUCCGACAAUGAAAUGCAGCAUCUUAACGCUCUAUUCGUCAAAGGAAGGGUUGAUGGGCAGCCGAUGACCAAGAUAUUAGUUGAUGGUGGGGCUGCUAUUAAUAUUAUGCCAUAUGCAGUCUAUCGGAAGCUUGGGAAAGGAGAUCGAGAUUUGACCGAGACCGAUAUGAUACUAAAAGACUUCGAAGAAAAUGUGUCUCCGGUUAAGGGAGCAAUAUGCGUCGAGUUGACCAUCGGUAGCAAAACCUUGCCGACAACUUUCUUUGUGAUCAGUGGAAAGGGUGCUUACAACCUAUUGUUGGGGAGAGAUUGGAUCCAUGCCAAUUGUUGCAUCCCGUCUACAAUGCACCAAUGUUUGGUUCAGUGGGUAGGCGACAAGAUUGAGAUUGUCCCAGGAGAUUCUUCAUACGUCAUUGCAUCUGCAGAGGCAGACACUUAUGAAAGGACCAGGUGCAUCUCUAGAGAAAUUUGGGAAAAGGAUUUCCUCAAGGUUGCCGAUUAUGAAAUUCCACCGAUCGAAGCAGUCGGUUCUGAUGAGGAGUUUUAAUGGAUAGGUUCGCCAAUGAUGGAAAAUUAGGCCAGGGGUUUACAUCGGCUGAUGAUUUAGUAGAAGUAGAUAUAGGUAAUGGAGAUAAGCCAAGGCCUACUUUUAUUAGUGCUAAGUUAAAUUCUGAGUGUAAGCAACAAUUAACCGAUUUGUUAAAGGAAUAUAAAGAUUGCUUUGCUUGGGAUUAUACUGAGAUGCCUGGUUUAGACCGAUCCAUUGUUGAACAUCGGUUGCCUAUCAAAUCUGGAUUUCGGCCACAUCAGCAGCCGGCUUGCCGAUGUAAUCCUAAUAUCCUUCCUGAUAUUAAGGCCGAAAUAACUAAACUUAUUGAAGCUAAAUUUAUUCGGCAGUGUUGGUAUGCCGAGUGGAUUUCUAAUGUUGUUCCAGUUUACAAGAAAAAUGGGAAGCUUCGAGUCUGCAUUGAUUUCAGAAAUCUUAACAAGGCUACGCCGAUGGAUGGCUACCCAAUGCCAGUUGCCGAUUUGCUAGUUGAUGCUGCAGCUGGACAUCGGAUUAUUAGCUUCAUGGAUGGCAAUGCAGGAUAUAAUCAGAUAUUCAUGGCUGAACAAGAUAUUCCAAAGACCGCAUUUAGAUGUCCUGGUCAUGUUGGGUUGUUUGAAUGGAUAGUCAUGACCUUUGGCUUGAAAAAUGCUGGUGCUACUUAUCAGAGGGCUAUGAAUUUUAUCUUUCAUGAGUUCAUCGGCAAGCUGGUAGAAAUUUACAUUGAUGAUGUGGUGGUUAAGUCUGGAGAUUUCACAAAGCAUCUUGCCGAUUUGCAAAAGGUGUUGGAGUGUACAAGGAAACAUGGUUUAAAAAUGAAUCCUAAUAAUUGUGCAUUUGGCGUAUCGGCAGGGCAAUUUCUUUGUUUCAUGGUGCAUCAGAGAGGAAUUGAAAUUAGUAGGAGAUCUAUUGAUGCCAUCAACAAGAUAGCAGCUCCUACCAACAAAACUGAACUCCAGUCUUUGAUCGGCAAGGUAAAUUUUAUCAGGCGGUUUAUAUCUAAUUUGUCUGGUAAAAUUCGUGCUUUUAGCCCUUUGCUUAAAUGGAAAGCCGAUCAAGAGUUUGUAUGGGGAAAAGAGCAACAAUUAGCCUUGGAUGAAAUCAAGAAUUAUUUGACAAAUCCUCCAGUUCUGAUCCCACCUCAGCAAGAAAAGCCUUUUAGAUUGUAUUUGUCUACCGAUGGGAUGGUUAUCGGUUCGGCUUUGAUUCAAGAAUUUGAAGGGAAGGAACGUGUGAUUUAUUAUUUGAGUAGAAGGCUGAUUGAUGCUGAGACCAGGUAUUCGGCAUUUGAAAAAUUAUGUUUAUGCCUAUAUUUUUCAUGUAUCAAAUUAAGGCACUAUUUGCUAUCGGCCGAAUGCACUGUUAUAUGCAAAGAUGAUGUAGUCCGAUACAUGUUAUCUAUGCCGAUUAUGAGUGGUAGAAUCGGUAAAUGGAUUUUGGCAUUGUCGGAAUUUGAUCUACAUUACGAAUCGGCUAAGGCAGUUAAGGGGUAGAUUAUGGCUGAUUUUGUAACUCAAUAUUGUGGUAUGACGGGUACUUUGGAAAUUGUUCCUUGGACUCUCUUCUUUGAUGGAUCCACGUGUGACAGGGGGGCAGGAAUCGGCAUAGUACUAAUCUCCCCACAAGGAAGGAAGUAUGAGUUCUCUUUGUCGAUUGUUGCCACGUCAACAAAUAAUCAAGCUGAAUAUCAAGCUUUGAUCAAAGGGUUGGAAUUAUUAAAAGAAGUUCAGGCUGAUGCUGUUGAAAUUUUCGGAGAUUCUAUGCUUGUCAUAAAUCAACUGGCUGGAAUUUAUGAAUGCUGAAACGAGAUCCUGAUAGCCUAUUAUGAAAAGAGUAUGCAACUAUUAAAGGAAUUCAAGGAUUUCCGAUUAGAGCAUGUUCCUCGGUUACAUAAUGAGGAGGCUAAUCGGUUGACUUAGCAUGCCUCGGGAUAUCAACCCAUAUUGAAUGUGUUAUCGGUAAAUAGUGCCGAUGAUUGGAGAAAGGAGGUCAUUGAUUAUUUAAGGGAUCCAUCUAAGAAGGUUGAGAGGCAUAUCCGGUUUCAAGCUAUCAAGUAUGUGCUCCUCGAGGAUGAGCUAUAUUAUAGAACAAUAGAUGGGGUUCUUCUCAAGUGCUUAGGUGAUGAUGAAGCUAAAAGUUUGAUGGGAGAAAUCCAUGAAGGAGUGUGUGGAGCACAUCAGUCGGCUUUUAAGAUGAAAUGGAUGAUCAAGAGAAAUGGGUAUUAUUGGCCGACCAUACUUGAGGAUUGUUUUAAGUAUUUCAAAGGAUGUCAAGGAUGUCAGAAAUUUGGCAAUAUUCAAAGGGAACCCGCAUCGGCCAUAAAUCCCAUUAUUAAACCUUGGCCGUUCCGGGGAUGGGCUAUUGAUCUAAUCGGCCAGAUUUACCCUCCAUCGAGCAAAGGGCAUAAGUUCAUCUUAGUUGCCACUGAUUAUUUCAUUAAGUGGGUUGAGCUAUUCCUUUGAAGAAAGUUACAUCGGCUAAUAUGAUUGAUUUUGUGAAAGUGCAUAUUGUGUACCGAUUUAGUAUUCCUCAAACAAUUACUACCGAUCAGGGUACUAUGUUUACAUCAGGAGAGUUUGAUGAAUUUGCAAUCGGUAUGGGAAUUAAAGUGUUGAAUUCUUCUCCUUAUUAUGCUCAAGCCAAUGGGCAGGCCGAGGCAUCUAACAAAGGAAUUAUUAAACUUAUCAAACGGAAGAUUGAGGAAAAUCCUCGGAGGUGGCAUACAUUGUUGAAUGAAGCUUUAUGGUCAUAUCGGAUGGCUUGUCAUGGGUCGACCAAAGUUUCACCUUAUCAGUUGGUGUAUGGGCACGAUGCAGUACUACCAUGGGAAAUUAAGACUGGGUCUAGGCGACUAUCUUUCCAGGAUCAGUUGACUGCCGAUGACUAUGCUACUUUGAUGAAAGAUGAGUUAGAUGAUUUAGCAGGACAUCGGCUCAAAGCUUUGAUAAGUAUAGAAGAAAAUAAAAAGAGAGUUGCUAAGUGGUGUGAUAAAAAGGUAAAGGCUAAGGAGUUUGCCGAUGGUGAUUUGGUAUGGAAACUGAUAUUACCGAUUGGGACUAAAAGUUCAAAGUUUGGUAAGUGGUCUCCCAAUUGGAAAGGUCCUUAUCGGAUAAAUCGGUCUGCUCCUGGUAAUGCCUAUAUUUUGGAAACUCUCGAAGGAGUUGAAUUUCCUAGAGCAUUGAAUGGAAAAUAUUUAAAGAGGUAUUACCCAAGCAUAUGGGUCCAUGCAUAAAAGUUUAAGUGCCGAUAACACUCCUAUCGGCUGGAUUGAAAUGUAUCUGGGACUAAAUACGAUGUUUCAAAAGGAUGCCGAUAACAGUCCUAUCGGCUAGACCAAAAUAAUCAGUAGUUUUUGAAGAAAGAGCAAAACACGCCGCCAAUGAAGAGCUUAUACAUUCAGCAGAGCUUGGAUCACCGAUAUGGCACGCAGACGAAUUUGAUCGGCUUCUUCUAUCUCCUUGAUGUCUUUAUCGACAGAGCCCUCCACUGGCUUCAGCUUCUUCUCCAUCUGCAAUGCCUUGCAGGCUUGAAUGUUUUGCUCUUGUUCUAGGGUCUUGAUCAUUUCGGGUAGCUGACUUUCUUCUUGCUAAGCUUGGGAAAGAGCCUCUUCUACCUGCUUGAGCUCUGCUAAUAGGGUUUCUCUUUUUGCCGAUAGGUCAGAGAUUUUCUGCCUCAGUGUCUCUCCUGAAGAUUGUAGGAUGCCGAUGCUCUUGUGUUUCUCAUCGGCAAGGUGUUUCACUUUCAUUACCUCCUCUGAGAGUUGGGCAUGGGUGGCUCUAUCGGCAAGGCGCUGAGUGGCCUUUUGGUACUGGAGCUGACGGCUCUCCAAAUGUGCAGCCUUGAAGAGGAUCUCUUUGGCAUUGGCAGGGAUUUGGCCUCUAAGAGCUUUAAACAGAGCCUUGACUGGAUCAGAGUCAUCAACCAGUUGAGCUGUAUCCUGAUGAAGCAGGGCCAACAGAUCUUCUAGCUUUGCUCUGAUUUCUGCUGAUGAAAUCCUGACUGCUUGAGAAGAGCUUGCUUCCUCGCCUUCAUCAUCAGAAAUUUCAAUGGCGAAGGAGAACAGGCUAUCAGGAGAAUCUUGCUCCUGAAAAGGAAAAGGAAAUAGGUUAUUUGAUUACCAAAUGUUAGUGAAAUAAAGGACGAAGGUCAAAUAACUUACUUGUUUCAGAGCUAUUUCUCGUCUUUGGCUAGUUGAUGCCGAUGGCACCACGGGUUGAUCGGCUGGAGUUGCCGAUGGAAUAAUGUUAACUGAAAAAAUGAUAAUGGUUGUUAUAAGUUGGAGAAACAGAUCCAUCGGCAAUAAUUUUAUGGACAGUACUUUACCUUGAGGGGGUGCAGUGCUUGUCUGAAUUGAGGAGACUACCGAUGCUACGAUUGAACCCACUGGAUCGGCGGUCUGCUCAUGUACAUCGGCUGAUGUCUCUUCUGGCUGAGGUUCUUCUUGUGGCUGAGGUGCAGAUGGUGCUUGUUGUGUCUGAGCCUCUGGUGAAGAAGGGGACGAAUCCACAUGAAUCAGUGACCCUAGAGGAGGAGGAGGAGGCGUUGCUGUUUUCUGACGCUUUGCUUGUGACUUAGUACUCUUGGGGCCCUUUCUCUUAGCUUGACUAGCCUGGGGGGCAUCGGCACUUGUCUUGGUACUUCUGGUUUUUGCCGAUUUGCCGGAUUGCUGGUACAACAACAGAAGUUUCAUAAGUACAAGCGUGACGGAGUAUUAAUAGAAUUUUGGUCGAAACAGUGAAAGUUACCGAUGAAGUUCCCAUGGCAGCCGAUGUAUCCUGAAAAGGCUGUGUAAGUAUAGAAUAGAAUCAGUAUAAAUUGAAGAAGUAAAGAUUUUCUACAUUGAAAGCUUGCACCAAAGCAGCAGCAGCGACCGAUGGAGAUGUCUUGGCCCGCUUGGUGGUAAUUUUCUUGAAACGCACGCCCCGGUGCAUUAAAGCCGCCAAGCUUGGUGCAUUGUUGCCGAUCAAAGAGAUCGGGCCCGAUGGGAGGAGUUCGAUCAGCUUGCCACUUCUGUUGACUAACGGUGGUGUAUCGUCGACCUGUGUAAAACAGAGGAAGUAAGUUGCCGAUAAGAACGAAAGUAAUUGGUGUUGACGGUCCUUAAGUAUCAAAUAUAAUCAUCAAAUAAAUAAAGAAAAGGAUCCAAAUGCAACCAACACCUAGACUUAGGGUUUUAUCUGACAGAAUUCCACGAGUUUUGGUGUUUGUCUAUUUCUGCAGGGGUUAUCAGGAAAUAUGGAAGAAAGGCCCACACGUCGGGAUUACAUAGAGAUAUUAACGUGCCGCGCAAUUUUCUAUCAUCUAGAAGACUCCAAAAGCCACGGGAAUGAACGGGAGGCCGAACGGGCCCGGGGGCAGGGCGCCCGCCCUCUCCCCUUGGGCGCCCGCCCAAGUGUUUCCACCAAUCACAGAAUGGAGUACAUCAUUGCAAAGAUCUCGUCGAGCUGAUCGAAAUGCAUAUAUUAUUUGCUAUAUUUGGAGUUCGGAAUCAAGAGAUAUUAAUAAAAGAAGCACUCCACAUAAAAGAGCUGCGGGAUUAAUUGGGCCCAAAUCAGAUUUUGGUCCAUUAAGGCCUAUGUGCAUUUUAAUGAGAUAUGGUGGAAAGUUUAGUACCACAUCGCCUGCUGAACCAAAAACGCAUAGGGGAGGAGGACUAUAUAAGGAGACCCCCCUGGCCCCUGGAGAAGACAAGAAAUUAUCAUAGAGAUUGAGGGGUGCCCUCGAAGGAAAACCUCUUCUCUAAAUAAUAUUUCUUUUUAGGCUUAGCAACCAAUGUAAGUAGAAAUAGAUCUUCUAGUUUCUACUAGAUUGAGAGAGAUAGAGUGGAGGUGUAGAUCGGAGGAAGGCCGGCCUGUCGGUGUCUACUUCGAGUUGUACCUGCGGGAUCAAGUCUCCUAACCCGAGGCUUGCUUCUAAGAUUCUUCAGUAAUUCGACUUCUAAUUCUAGUAAGUUCUUGUUUUAUUGUUCUUUGGUUUAUGAGUUUACUUUAAUCCUCUUCCGGUUGAGUAUUAGAGUAAUCAUUGCUAGCAUAAACGUGGUGUUUAGGCUAGGGUACUCAUAGAUAUCCCCUGACUAGCUAGACCGUGGUAGUAGCGAGGAACGUGACAUUUCUGAGUUACCUCUGUAUCCCAUAUCUUGUUAGCAGGACGGGUAGGUUUAUAGGUGCGGGUCGAACAUCCUUUGUGGUGUCUAGAUUCCGUAAGCUUCCCUAAUAGAACAGUAGAUCAUCCUUACUAAGAUUAGAACGAGACUACGGUUGCAGUCUUCUCUAUACAUCGCUCACAUCGAGAGACAUUCUUUGUAGCCUAAAGGGAUAGUAGCAAUAGAUUUGGUUAGUCAGAUGCACCCUUUCUUCCAGUGGUAAAAAUAUAAAUACGAUAACUCUGAAUAACCUCCCGGGUGAAAUGCUCACCGAUAUCCGUGCGCUUGCGGAUCAUUUCCUUAUUGCGUUACCAAAUAUCAACAAGCAUUUCUGGCACCGUUGCCGGGGAGAAAGACGGUUUGCUGAGAUAACUUUGAGUCUUGCUAUUAUCUUGUAUUAUACUUUUAUACUUUUAUUCUUUUAUCUUUUUAUUUUUAUCUUUAUGGAUAACUCAAAUUCCAUACCUAUUAUUAAAUUCUUUGCACCUUCGGAGACCAGCCAUAGACCAUGGGAGUCAACAAGUCCUGCCCCUAAUUAUGAUCUGUGUCCGGAGUUGAUUCCAAUAGGUCAAAACCAACCCUUUUCUAUAGCCGAGGUCCUAUCUUUUAAUCAAGAAGAUAAUGCACUUUUAGCUACACCUAGGGAAUCUAUUAAUCUUUCUAUAAAUUCUGGUUUAGACCUAGCCCUACAAGACCAUGUUUUUCCAAGAUAUUUUCACAUUGGUCUUAAUCAUAUAAUUUUUGGUAGAGUCUUUCUUUCUUUAUCUAUUAGUAAAGGAAGGUAUGUCUUCAUUUGUGGACAUCCUUCUUGUACUAGUCUAUAUAGAAAAAUCUUAGAGAUAGAGAAGGAAUCAUCUCCCAUACAAGGAGAGGAAGUUUCAAUAGCCGAUUUCCAAACAUUUCAAUCCCAUGAUUCGGCUAUCCAACCCAUCCUUGAGCUUAAUAAAUUCUACUAUGCUCUUUCUCUUGAUCCUCCCGAUAAUCCUAUGAAUCUCUCUAGACAUCCCAUGCAUAAGAAGGAGGAUCGAGAAGAGCAACAUCAAUGGCUAGAGGGCAUUAAAAAUCCAUGUGCUAUCACCAUUGAAUGGAUAGAUAAAACAAACUUGAGAGACAAUCCUAGAGGAAUUUUAACCAUUCAUGAAGAAUCAUCCUUGGAGUUUGAGAAUGAGAGAAACAGCAGUGAGCAUGGAAGUUAUUUCAUAAAUACCUCACCCAGUCCUUGCUCAUAUAAAACAUCUCUCCAAUCAAUUGGUCUCUCCAUCCUUAUUACAUUUGAGAUCUCCAACCCCCUCUUCUUUUCUAUUUAUAACAACUUUAAAAGAGCGGUUGUCGAUGCAUAUGUCUAUAAUAAAUAUUGCAGAUCUCGUUGAGUUAAUCUUGAUAUAGGUUGGUGUUGGAGGGGAAACGACUUCACCAACAUAACUUGAUGAUUUCCUAGGGAUAAGCUUAGCGUCCUUAAACAAGCGCUUAUCAGAUCGUAACAUGAACUUCUAAUUAUUUGCAACAUUGCCUUGUGUAUUGAGCAUAUUGAGAUAAUUGUAGAAAUAUUCCUUCGGGUAUUCUUGCCACUAACCUUUCCAAGAUUGGAGCAAGAAGAUCCGAGGAAUGACAAGCGCAAGGUAUGCCCAUCCAAUCAUCAUGCAACAUUGAAUUAAAUUCAUCCAAUCUUGAAUUUUGCAAACUUCAAGCUUGGGGGAGUACUUUACAUAAAAACAUCAUUUGCCAUGUUGCUAUGUUGGUUGCCCUUACCUUUGAGACAUGCUCAAUUUGUUAAAUACUAAUCACACUACUUUAUCUUCACUUGAGUAGAUCUCUAUAAAUGCCAUCAUGCUACCUAUGUUUAUCUUAAGUAAGUGUUGGUUUGGAAGUACUGCACAUACUUCUAUUGGCUUUUAAAUUAAGCAUGGUGCUUAGGUUAAACAGCCUUCCUUAAUCUGAUUAGACAUGGAGUCUAGUUCGAUUAUUGAACUAAAAACUGCUUGUGUAGACAUUGGUAUAUUUUGUUGGACUAACCCCUGCAGAAAAACUUUCAAUAUCAACCUGGGAAGUCUUGAGAUACAAACUCACUGGAGACAAAGGAGACACAUGAAGUUUAACAAUUUGCACAAGAAGGACAUAGCUCAUUCAUCAUAAAGAGAUGAUCUAUGUAGGGUGCCACAAACACGAUGCACAACCGCUAAGAAAGGAAAGCUUCCACAAGGUGAUACUAUACCAUCACUCUUCAAGUAAGGUGACAUCUUAAGGUACUUGAUUAUCGCUUUUAUAAGUUUUUCCUUUGUUCUGGCAUUCACUUAAAAUAAAGAGACAAACAUGUAUCAUUUAUAACUCCAGAUUAACCAACUCAAUUAAUUCAACAUGUUUAGUCCUUUAAUCUUUGUUCUUAGUACCACCUUCAUGAUCCCACACUCCUAAUCAUAUAAGCUAAAGUGUUGCACAUUCAAUCUUUGGAAGAUAUAAACAAAACAUAAAUAUAGAUAGAUUAUCUUUCCAUUAGGUUGAGCCAUCUGAUCUAACAAAUGUUUUAAAUGCUACACUCAUGAUCCAUUAACUUUGUCUUGCUCACUAUGCUUAAGGUUAGAGAAGAAUAAAUACACUUUUGGUUCUGUUGGUGUUUUCCACCAACAGGGCCCAUGCACUUGAUCUCUGCCUUGUCUCUAUGAAUAGGUACACUUCAAACAAAACAUGGAGGAGUUUUACAACUCCCAGAUUUCACCUAGUGAAGAACCUGGAUCUACGAGCACAAACACACUGAGCAGGAUAUUGCCAACACCGCACUUCGAACUGCUGGGCAAACAAAGAACAUGGGUGACUCCAUAUCAAGAGGUGCAGACGUCAAGGUCCACACCUAAACAAAUGAUGCACCUAAAGGAUGAAGACAGUGAGAAGUUUUGACUAGAAUACUUAAAACAUUGGAUCCUUGUCGGAGGAGGUCAAGAUCGUCAACUCAAGUCGCCUUUCCUAAUCAAGAAGGAUGACCCUGGUGUUCCAAGCAUCGAGUGCACAAUCAAUAGAUACUCUUUUUAGAAGACACUCUACGACACCAGAUCUGACGACAACAUAAUAGCCGCAGUCACUUAUCAGCUCCUGCAUGGAACCAUGCUCCUACAACCAAGAUACAUUCAGCUCCAGACGAUUUUCAGGUCAUUGACAUGGGAGACGACGAGUACGAUCCUCAACACUACCAAAGCCAUCAUCUAUAUUGGAACCGGAGAAGUCCACAUGCACUUCCCCUCUGAGAAGGUAUGCCGCUGUUUUACUGACCCUAACUAUAUAGUUGAAGACUCUAAGCAGGUCAGGACAAGAAGAAGACGAUGCAACCGCAACCAGAGGAGGCAAAAUCAUCAAGAACGGAUGGGUAGACUACGAAGGAGAAGUGAUAAGGUCUGAAGACAUACAGCUUGAACAGAACUGUCAUGAGGAGACCGUAGCACCGAGUCAUGUGUGGAGAGAAGAAGAUAGUUAUACACGAAGAGGAGGCGCCACCGGAAUCACCGACUACGCCACCUAGCGAAUCCCAGGACGACUGAAAACACAAGGAGUCCCGUUCGGAGGACUUAAAAAUACCGAACGCCUUGCCAAGAGGUAAACUUGGUAGUUAUCCUUUUCCAUUCAAUAGUUUGCUUAGUUAAUCAGGUUCAUGCUAUCUUGAAAAGAAAAUAAAAAUGUUAAAAAAAAUAGUAAACCCCAUGUGAGUAUGCUCAUGGCAUAAAACCCAUAAGUACAUUCACUGUGGUGGCAUAAAAAUAAAAUAAAUAAGUUUUCAUCUUACAAUAAAAAAAUAUAAAAAUAAUAAAUGCAUAAUCCUGCUAAAUAAGUAAUAGUUAUUGAGGAGGCUCAAUAUGAUAAAGGCUAGAUAUUUAUGCUAACACUUAACCAGUUCCACAAAACUUUGUUGUCUAUUUGAGCUCUACAGAAUUUAAGAAUCAAGAAGACUAGCAGACGGAGGACAUUCUAAUCGCUGUCAGAAUGUUGCUGACUUUCAAAUACACCUCUGCCACCUGCUAGCUACAUCAGAAGAAAUUACGUCAAAAUCUAGCUUGGGGGAGAGCACCCCCAUUUAUCCAGCUAAGUGUUUCUACUCGCAUUUAUACUUUACUCAAAUAAUAAGAGAUGCAUAAUCAUGAAAACCCAAAUAAAGAUUUUGUGCUUUUCUUUGCUUAGUUUGCUAAAUAAAUAAAUAAAUAAAAUUUGCUAUGAACCCUCAUGAUAAGCUCUCUCAUGGAAAUGAUGAAUAGUUGCUCUGCCAUGACUAGUUCUUAAAAUUGAAAUCUCUCUCAAGUUUAGGCAUGACUGUUAUGAAUUAUGAUUUGCUCUAAAUCUGAACUUGUGGGAUGAGUACUUGAUCUAAAGUCUAAGUCGUUAACGGAUAUGAUAUGGGAAGGUUGAGCUGCUGUUUAUCUAUUCCUAGAGAUGCUAGAAUUCUGGAGAAUUUUAUCUUUGGAAAAUCUUUAAAAUAACACAUGAUGAGUUCCUAUAUGAUGAGAGUUUAAAUUCCUACCACAGGCAUAUAUACAUGCUUGCUAGACUUUGAGCCACAUAUUUACUUUUUUACUGCUUAUGAGCAUUGAGUGUGGUCAAGCUGUGUAGACCCUUAGGAGCUUGUCAUGUGGUUAAAAUCAAGAUUCACUUGCACGUUCACUCAUACAUGCUACUUCUACUCCGGAAGUGCCAUCCACAUAUAUCCACUCAUUUCCAUCUCCACAUUCACCCGAAAUUAUUCUACUCCUAAUCCGGGAGAGAAUAGCCAAAAAUAUUUUCCUAUCCCUGUUAUUCCCUGUGAAAUAAAUGCUUGAGUUAUCUUGGUUACUACCACUUGCUAUAUUAUUUAAGGAGAUGAGUGCUCUAAAAAAAGAAAAAAAAUACGAGGAAAUAAAAAGGGGCAAGUGCCCGGAACCUCGAAGAAAAAGAAUAAAGUGAGACGAGAGGUAAAAAUGGACAAGUGUCCGACAGUAGAAUUAGGGGUGCAUGAUACCCACCUGAGAGGAAAAAAAGAAAAUAUAGAGCAUCUCAUUCUCCCCAAAAAGCUUCACAGUGCAAGAAAGGUAUGUAUUCCCUCAAAAGAGCAAAAGUAGAAUUAGACUUUCACCAUUAUUAUCACCAUCAUCACCAUACGCCAUUCAUUCGCCACACAUGCACAUCUUGAUUUGACUUAUUGACUUGUUUCUCUGGAUCCAUGGUUUGACUAUGCAAUAAAUGUCUUGUAAGUAUGUAUUAGCUGUCUCCCACCUAUGAGCUCCAGAUAUCAAAACCUUAUUAGAGUAGGGUGAGAGAGAAGGCAAUAUCACUAUGCAUUACACCAAAAAUACCACAUACUUUGAGAGAAGGCAUAUACAAUUAUUGCCGUGGUAAGGAUCCAGAAAUACCACAAAAGAGAGAUUCGAGAGAAUCAUAUAAGGAAUCUCUAAGUUUUAUUUGAAAAUCUACAAAAACUCCAGAGCUAUAGCUGAUCAAGUAUAAGAGACAUGGCGCUUGAUUUGACCGUUCUAUCUUUUAACUGCUCAAGACACAAGUGACGGUUACAAGCCCCAUGGUGAAAGGUAAAAUGAGUAAGUUUUAAGUCUUAACAAUUUAUUCUCAGAGAUGAGAUCUUGCUUGAAUGCGUGUGUACUUUUAAGGCAUGAAACCACUGCAGAAACUCUUGAGUUCAUCCUUGCUCAGGGACGAGCAAGAGGUAAUCUUGGCGGAGUUUGUUGACGGUCCUUAAGUAUCAAAUAUAAUCAUCAAAUAAAUAAAGAAAAGGAUCCAAAUGCAACCAACACCUAGACUUAGGGUUUUAUCUGACAGAAUUCCACGAGUUUUGGUGUUUGUCUAUUUCUGCAGGGGGUUAUCAGGAAAUAUGGAAGGAAGGCCCACACGUCGGGAUUACAUAGAGAUAUUAACGUGCCGCGCAAUUUUCUAUCAUCUAGAAGACUCCAGAAGCCACGGGAACGAACGGGAGGCCGAACGGGCCCGGGGGCAGGGCGCCCGCCCUCUCCCCUUGGGCGCCCGCCCAAAUGUUUCCACCAAUCACAGAAUGGAGUACACCAUUGCAAAGAUCUCGUCGAGCUGAUCGAAAUGCAUAUAUUAUUUGCUAUAUUUGGAGUUCGGAAUCAAGUGAUAUUAAGAAAAGAAGGACUCCAUAUAAAAGAGCUGCGGGAUUAAUUGAGCCCAAAUCAGAUUUUGGUCCAUUAAGGCCUAUGUGCAUUUUAAUGAGAUAUGGUGGAAAGUUUAGUACCACAUCGCCUGCUGAACCAAAAACGCAUAGAGGAGGAGGACUAUAUAAGGAGACCCCCCUGGCCCCUGGAGAAGACAAGAAAUUAUCAUAGAGAUUGAGGGGUGCCCUCGAAGGAAAACCUCUUCUCUAAAUAAUAUUUCUUUUUAGGCUUAGCAACCAAUGUAAGUAGAAAUAGAUCUUCUAGUUUCUACUAGAUUGAGAGAGAUAGAGUGGAGGUGUAGAUCGGAGGAAGGCUGGCCUGUCGGUGUCUACUUCGAGUUGUACCUGCGGGAUCAAGUCUCCUAACCCGAGGCUUGCUUCUAAGAUUCUUCAGUAAUUCGACUUCUAAUUCUAGUAAGUUCUUGUUUUAUUGUUCUUUGGUUUAUGAGUUUACUUUAAUCCUCUUCCGGUUGAGUAUUAGAGUAAUCAUUGCUAGUGUAAACGUGGUGUUUAGGCUAGGGUACUCAUAGAUAUCCCCUGACUAGCUGGACCGUGGUAGUAGCGAGGAACGUGACAUUUCCGAGUUACCUUUGUAUCCCAUAUCUUGUUAGCAGGACGGGUAGGUUUAUAGGUGCGGGUCGAACAUCCUUUGUGGUGUCUAGAUUCCGUAAGCUUCCCUAAUAGAACAGUAGAUCAUCCUUACCGAGAUUAGAACGAGACUACAGUUGCAGUCUUCUCUAUACAUCGCUCACAUCGAGAAACAUUCUUUGUAGCCUAAAGGGAUAGUAGCAAUAGAUUUGGUUAGUCAGAUGCACCCUUUCUUCCAGUGGUAAAAAUAUAAAUACGAUAACUCUGGAUAACCUCCCGGGUGAAAUGCUCACCGAUAUCCGUGCGCUUGCGGAUCAUUUCCUUAUUGCGUUACCAAAUAUCAACAAUAGGAUUGAGGCAUCGGUUGAAGACUUACAGUGUUCUCAAGGACCUUGUACGUGGAGUCGAUCAUACUGCGGUAUGUAAGAGCCGAUCUGUAGAACAAAUGCUCUUAACACUCCGCCCACCAUUGUUUAUAAGCCGAUAAGUCGAUGUCUGAUGUAUCGGCAUUUGGUGGGAGUUGAGCUAUUCUGAUCCACUCAAGACCACUGGUGAUGAUCUCCCUUGGCUUCAACACAUUUGCAUAACAGAGCGCAAUCGGCAGCUGUCCGAAGGCCAAUUGACGAGCCAGUGCCGAUGGAUUGUAGAACUCGUAGGUAAGGUUAGAGGGUUUCCCACUACCAAAGAAGUUCACUGGUAUAACUCUCGGAGUGAUAAUUGCCAUCAUCAGAUCAUGGUCCUUAUUGAGAGCAUUAGCAAAGGGAUGAAAAGUUAGGGGAAAUCUGGUGUCUGGAUCCUCAUAAGGCAUCCAUGCCCGCUGUUCUUUGGUCAGACCCUCAUAAAGAGUCUGAAAGAAUCGGCUAACCUGAUCUUCAUUACUACCGGUACCAGGUAGAACUAUGGCAGCUUCACCAUAGUUCAAAGGGGAGCGAGUUGCCGAUUCUUCCUCGUCCAGCUCAUGAUCUUCGGCUAUAUCUCUGGGGAAGCGCUGUGCAAAAAGGUUGAAUUCAAGGCGCUUAUGCAUGUGGACACUAAGCCACAUGUUGAUGAACCACCAGGGUCCCCCUAUGUUGCCGAUGGGUUGGCCUAGCAGGAGUUUCUUAGCUAACUGGCGAAGGCGGUGAUAAACACAGCCGAGCAGGUAUCGGCCAAGAGAAAAUCGGCCACCAUUGGCCAGUCUUUCUACUACCGAUAGAUAGACAGAGGUUGGUCCUGCCGAUCGGCCACAGAAUACAAACUUAUCCAGCCACAUGUUCAAGAAAAUGGCUUGUUCUCUUUCCCCGACAGGUCCUGUUUUUUUGGUACUUCUGAAUAUACCCAGACCAACCGCCGAUAGCGCGGGUCUCUACCUUAGAACCAGGCUUGUUAUCAAACAGAUGACUAUUAUCGAUAGUUGAUAUGUCUAAGCCAGUGAGCAUGAGUACAUUGGCAAGAGUAGGUGAAGCAGGGCCAUGGACGAAUACAAAAGCGUUGUGUGUGUCUAACCAAAAGUACGAGGCAGCUAUCAGCAGUGACUCGUUCCUCUCCAUAUCGGCUAUAGAUAAUCUGAUGCAUUGGUCUAAUUUCCGCUCACCCCAUUGGACUUCAUUUGAAUGGCUGACUCUCAGGAACCAGUCUUUCCAUCCCUUGGUAGGACUGGGCCAGGAACGGAAAGCAUCUUUCCACAGAUCUAAGGAGAAGUUUUCGGCUCUAAAAGGGAUCCUAUUUGUCUCUACGUUUAUCACAUCGGUGGGAUCUGGGUUUCCCAAUGGACCGAGGCACUGGAAGUGAGGUUGAUCGGUAGGAAUCACGAUCUUAUCGGCCAACUCCUAAAGGGUUUGGAGGAUGAAGGAACAGAAAAAAGACAAAGAAAACAAAAAUAAAAAAAGGGGUAUUCAGUAAAUAGAUUUGUAGAUGAACGAGAGUGCAGCAAAAGUAUAAAAAGAAGGGAGUGGUGAGUUAACCUCAGGAGCGACGAAGUUGAUGGCCAUUUCUUCCCGGAAGAAGGAAGUGAUCGAAGACUCUGAGGAUUGCUAGAAGAAAUCAUUGCCGGAGUUCUUGAAGUUCUCGAACAGUGCCGCCGCCAGGAGGGUGGAUUUGGGGCUGUAGAAUGACAAAAUGGAGAAAGAGUACCGGAUAAGGAAGCAUUUAUAGGACAAAACGGGUAGGGGCAAAUCUGACUUAUCUCUUUGCCGCAUCCGUGAAAUCCGAGGGUGUUCAGGUGGAUAUGGUAACUGUUUGCACGAUAAUCAAGGGAUUGCGUAGGUGAUUUGACAGCAUGCGGUCACGGUUUUGAAGAUAUUUUACUGUGUAAGAUCGCCUGGUCGGUCCAUCGGCAGUUUUCUCUAACGGUAAUAUUACCAAUGAGCGCACAGUGGGGAGGUUCGGUUCGAAAGGUUGAGAAAUUCAAGGAACCUACAGGAGAAUCGGGCUGAGGUUGUUUAGAUUUGGCGGCUGAUUACUAAAUUGGGAGAAGUAAUUGUGGAAAGGCGUCAUUACUGAAGAAAAUUUUGGAGCAUUAAUGAUUUUAUACUCCAAAAAUGGGGGGCAUGUGUUGACACUAUUUUUGGACACGUAUCUUUUGAUAUGCACCUGGAUCGGCAGAUGGAGCAAUGGUGACUAGUCUACAGGGGAGUUGCCGAUGGGGAAACAACCGAAUAUGACCAAGUCCAGAAGUGGUGACGUGUUCGUGCCGAUGACCAGUGCCGGUGUUUGCUGAUGGCUGUAACAGGUAGUCUGCCAAUGACUCUAAAGAAAAGCACGGAGGUUGCCGAUUGAUUCGUGGCAGUGCCCCGAUCGGUUACGGCGGAUAGUUUAAUGUUUUCCUUAGUUAUUAGGAUUCAUUUUUUAUAUGGAUUCCGUUUAAAUUGGAAUUCGAGUUCUAGUCAUGUCUAGUUGUAGCUCUUUAGGACAGGGUAUAAAUUUAGACCCCGUGGCAAUGUAAUAGGCAAUCUAUCAAUCAAUCAAACACAAGUUUUUACUCAUAUUCUAGUAUCUACUUUUUCGACGACUUCGUCAUAUUUUCCUUUUAUUACGAGUUCUUAGGAAUUCGUCGAGUCAAACUCGGCGCGUUCUCAAGUUCCGCGUGAGCACCUCUUGGUCGUGACAUCCGGGCGCAUCGCUAUUGUUGGGACCAAAGUGUUCGAGUUACCACCUUUGUCGAUUGUAAGGUCAAAUCGGUUGGCACGCCUUAACGUUUGAAUCGGGUAUUAGCCCUUUGUGUUUGCAAAUCAUCUUUUGCACCAACAGCCCUCAAUCUCAUCAUGGUGAUGAUGAAGAUGCAAAUGGAGAUCUAUCUGAUCAUGAAGAUGUGGAUGAUGACGGUGAUGCACGCAACCGUCGCUGCUAUAACUUCAAUCGUCGCAGUAUGGGAGGUAAAAAUCAUGGUAAUAAUGAUCCUUUUGCUAAAAUUAAAUUUAGCCUACCUCCUUUUGCAGGUAAUGUUGAUCAUGAGGCAUAUUUAGAUUGGGAGCUUGCUGUUCAACAAAAAUUUGAGUCCCAUAAUGUGCCUCCUGAGCAUAGAGUUAUGCUUGCUACUAGUGAGUUUACUAAUUUUGCUUUGUUUUGGUGGAGUGAUCUUUGCAAUACUAAUAAUGCUGCUGCUGUAUCUCAAACUUGGAAUGCUUUAAAACAACGUAUGAAAUCUCAUUUUGUUCCUCCUUAUUAUCAAUGUGAUUUACGUCUUAAACUGCAAAGUUUAAAACAAGGAGAUAAAAGCAUAGAAGCAUACUAUCAAGAAUUGCUUAUUGGUUUAGCACGUUGUGGUGUACAUGAAGAUGAUGCUAAUGCUAGUGCUAGAUUCUUUGGUGGUUUAAAUCAUGAUAUCUAGAACAUUCUUGAUUAUAAAGAAUGGCGUAAUUUUUCCCAAUUGUAUCAUCUUGCUAUAAAGGCAGAACAUGAAGUACAGGGACACAAGCAACACCAGACUUUCAAGUCUAAUAAUGGGAGGAAUUUUCAGCAGUGUUCCGAGCCAGAGACACCUGCAUUUUCUUCUAGGGUAAGUAAAUUGUCUAAUGUGCAGCCCCCACAGCUGAAGAAAGGUGCCACUCCGGGUGCUUCCACUAGUUCCUCUUCGCCUAGCGCUAAAAUCAUUUGCCAUCGAUGCAAAGGCAUGGGACAUGUCAUGAAGGAUUGCCCCAGUCGUCACGCUUUCAUUGCUACCAAGGAUGGAUAUGUAAGUGCUAGUGAUAUUGAAGAUGAUUUAGCCCUUGCUGCUAACAUUGCUGCAGAUCCCACCGAGGGCGAUCAAGACACGGAGACCAUCGCCAUUGACUCCAUUGCUGCCUCUGCGAGCUAUCCUAGCCUUUUUGUGCAGUGUGUGUUGUGUUCACGUGUGGUACAUGAAGAAGAUAAGCAGAUCCAGCGCCACAAUUUGUUCCACAUAUAUCUUAUUGUGUAGGCUUGUCGUGUUCUCACCAUCAUUGAUAGCGGGACUUGCAACAACUUGGUAAGUUCAGAUCUGGUUGAGAAGCUUGGCUUAAUCACAUGACAACAUUCGUAUCCAUAUAAAUUUCAAUGGUUCAAUAAUAGUGGUAAGACUAAGGUAACUAAAUCAGCCUGCAUUAGUUUCUUCAUAGGUUGUUAUCAUGAUACUGCUGAUUUUGAUGUUGUGCCAAUUCAAGCUUGUUCAAUUUUGUUAGGACGUCCAUGGGAAUUUGAUACUGAUGCUUUACACCAUGGUAGAACUAAUACAUACACUUUUAUACAUAAGAACAAGAACAUUACUUUGCUUCCUUUGUCACCAAUGGAUAUUGUUAAGCAUGCUAAAGUGAUAAACAGUAAACCUUCCACAGACAUUUAUAAACAUAAUGAAAAUAAGUUACAUGGAGGUACUUUACAUGCUACAACUUCUACUACUGCUGCAUUAUGUGAUAAUCCAGAUGCACCAUGUUAUACUAUGCUUUGUCAACCUAUUAUGUCUUGUGCAUUGCCUGCUGUCAGUAACCAUUUGCAGGAGUUUGUUGAUGGAGAAGAGUCGAGGAUGACUCUAAUUCUAGAAGGCGGGAUGAUGAGGACAUCGCCAAGAUGGAGUCGAGGACGAUUCCAAUUCAAAAAGGGGAGGAUGAUGAGGACAUCGCUACGCUGGAUAUGUUGACACCAUCGUCUUUUCCAAGUUGCAAUUCUUCUCCAACUCAGCUACCACGUCACUCUCGGAUUCACUAUGCCAGAAAAGCUAAUUAGUGACGCCGCUAGAGGGUCAUUAGUGACGCGGAAAGGACGCAUCACUUUUAUUACGUCUCUGAUGUGGACAAAUUAGUGACGUGUAAAAACGCGUCACUAAUAUGAAUAUACCAGCGACACGUACUGAUAAACUGCGUCACUGAUAUGAAUAUACCAGCGACACGUAUAGAUAAACCGCGUCACUAAUAAGGGCAUAUCAGGGACUCGUAUUGAGGAUACACAUCACUAGUAACGAUAUAUGAGUGACACAUAGUGAGAACACGCAUCACUAAUAAGGAGAUAUGAGCGACACGUACUAACAAUAUGCGUCACUAAUAAUUAGAUAUCAGUGACUCAUAUCAACCCAGCAUGUCACUAAUAGCAAUAAACAAGUGACGCGCAUGAUCGUAAUAGUGACAAGUCUGAAAGCCAUCAGAGCCAUAUUAAAGCCACAUACCACAAUGUUCACAGCACAUACAUAUGAAAGUCAUCAAUACAUUACUACAUGUUCAUAACAAAAGCUCUUCAAAUAGAUAUCAUGUUUAACAGAUCCACAUUUUUUAUAUAAAAUUCAUUGACAGAUUCACAGCUUGUUCGAAAUCCAUCACAACACUGGACUUAACUUAUUCAGUCACAAACUACAUCACUCGACCCAUAUUAAUAAUGGCAAUCACACAUAACUGAUGGUUAACUAGGAGGGUAGAACUCUCCUUUCUUGUUGAUGACCUAUGCCACUAAGAACAUGGCCCACUAAGAACUCUUUCUCUAAUCAUGUGCACAUGGAUGGGCUUUGUCAACACUUCAAAUUCCUGUGUUAAGAUAGAAUUUUGGUCAAAAAGAAAAUUUGGCACAACACAAUGUACAGUACAAUAUAAAAUAUCAUUAUAAAUAGUUCACACUUCAUGGUACACUGAUAGUUCUCAUGAUCAAAAUACAAGUCUGUUAAACCAUAAGUGAUUACAUAGUACACUAGAAUUGUGGAAAUGUGAUGGUUGCUUUAUAGAAAUAAAUAAAAAAUGGCAACACAUAUAUGUCCUAGCUACUUCCUUUCCUUUCAGCUUAAUGUAGGCCAACUACUCAUAGGCUACAACAAAACAUAAAGACAUAAUAAAUGUAAGAAAUGUCAUUGUACUCAAUUUCUACAAAACAACAGGUAGUGGAUGAUCUCCGGUGACAAAUAUACUUAGUGUCAAUGAACACUAUAAUAUGAUAGUGACCAUUCGUGACAACCCUAGCUAUUCAUCUAUCACUAGAGUACAGUACCAAAUAAAAAGACAUGCUCACCCAAUUAUGUAGGUCCAGUGCAAAUCUGCAUGGUCUGAUGUGUGCAUAUUUGUAAAAAAAUAGUUUACCAAGAAUUAGCUCAUACUACUUAUAUAAUCAGAGACUACGUACUGAUUCAUAUUCUUACUGCACAAGAAGUACCACCUACAAUAUGUCUCACAUAGUUACGCACAGACUAGUACUAAGAGGCCAUCACAAACUAAACUAGUAGGAAAUUAUGUCUACGCCUGUCUCAUACUGUUCUCAAUGCUGAACCUCGUCAGACCAUUUAAUUUGUAAGAAAAUAUAUCCAAGUACUGUCCUAUUGUGACAUGGGCUAUAACAACAGCCAUAUUUAAAUUCCAAACAAAACUAAAAUUUGUUCUUUAAAUUUGAUGCUUAGCUACUAUCGCGGCUCAAUUGAGAUGUAUAAGAGCCAAGCUGUUUAUGUGCUGCUACUUGCAUGUAGGAUGCUGCCUUUACUUAGUUUUCAAUUUUCUAUUCUAUGUGCUGAUAAUAAUGUAGGACAAUAAUUGCACAUAAUAGGAUUCAAAAUAAUCGAACCAAGAGAUCUCAAUUCUAGAGAAGAGGUGUUUUCUGAAAUAGAACAUAUUGGAAGAUAUAUAGCUAAGGGGCUCUACAUGAUUAAAGUGAAGAGCAAAGCUGUAGAUGUGGAAACAAGAACAUUUGUAAUAAUUGAACAAGUAAGAUCACCUUGCAGCCCACACAAGCAAUAUAUAUUUGUAUAUACAUUGCAGCCCACUCGGAAUAGGUGAAGCAAAUGAUGACUGAUGCCUUAACUUUUAUAGCAGCACACACCUAGAAAAGUAGUAAUGAAUUAUCUUUGAAUUAAAAAUUCUAUGAUUCAGCAAGCUAUUUCCUCGAGGCAAAAUGAAUUAGUUCAAAUGAUGACUGAUGCCUUAACUUUUAUAGCAGCACACACCUAGAAAAGUAGUAAUGAAUUAUCUUUGAAUUAAAAAUUCUAUGAUUCAGCAAGCUAUUUCCUCGAGGCAAAAUGAAUUAGUUAUAUACUAAACAAAUCAGCAGAAAAUGAUCAUAGAAUAGACACUGCUCACUACUACAGAAUGAGGCAUUGGUCGAUGCCCAAAAUGGCCAAAAACCUCGGCCUUUGCGGCCCGGGGUUAAAGACCCCUUUAGCACCGGCCAGCGCCACAGGCCGAGGCAAAGCCUUUAGAACUGGUUUUUAACACAAACCGGUGCUAAAGGGUGACCCUUUAGCACCGGUUUUGUCCCUGAACCGGUUCUAAAGGUCCGGUUUAUAGGCCGGAUCACACCUCUCUGCCCAUUUGAAACCGAGAGCACCAUUCACCAUUGUUGUUCUUGGAGCUUCUUCUUCCUCAUUUGUUCUUCAUCUCCGACGCCCAUUGUUGAUCUUCUUCGACUCUGUCAUCGUUUCUUCGUGUUUGGAGGUGACUAACUUUUGUCUUUCUUGUCUUUUUCAUGUUGUUUUUGGCUUGUGAUGUUCCCAUUAUUUUUAGCUCAAAUCCACGUUGUUAUUUUGAAUCAUUCAUAUGAAUUAGUAUCCAUAUAUAUAUAUCAUAUUUCAUGGUUGACCUAGUAUUAAUGUAGUUUGCAAGAAUGAAUUAUAGUAUCUUUUUAUGAUCUUAGAAAGUAGGAUAGUUCAAAUUAAUUGGUUUGUUAAUAUCACUUGAUUUAUUUUUAUUACUACAUAAUGUCUAUUGUAUAAUUUAGAAGAUUUGUUGAAGUAACUAGACAAAUAAAGGAUAUUAUUAUGUUCUUCUUUAAUCAUACAUGUUUACUAGUAAAUGUGGAAUUUAUAAUAGUUUAAAAAUUGAGUAUGGAUAGUAGGUGGCAACCGUGACCGGGACUUCGGUCUCUCAACGGGUUCAAAAGCGAUACCGUCCGGAACUCCCUCUCAUUACUUGUGGCAAGUGUGGGCAGAAGAUUUUGAUGGAGUACAAAGUGUCGAAAGAGGGAGUAAACAAGGGUCGUAUAUUCUACAAGUGUCCGGAUCGUAAUGCGAGUUAUUUCCAGACAUUUGCUUAUAUAUGUGCAUAUUUUUUUAAAUGAUAUUAAAUAAACUUUUGAUUCUCUCUUUUAAUUUCAGUGGGACGGUACCGGCGGAUGUACAGGUUGGUACUGGGAGGAAGAAUACAUUGAACACAUUAAGAAAUCUUUUGCACAGGUGGUUGAGGCUGAAGGUGGUGAGGCCGUGAGCCGACGAAAGGAGUUCAAUGACGUUGAUCAAGCGAAUGAUCUAUCUAUUAUAGUUGGGAUCGGACGCGAACUAAUUAUGUUGCUUAAGUGCAUUUUAGUUUUGACUUUUUUAGUGCUAGUUGCGAUUGUAUUUGUUGUAGCCAAGCUUUCCUAAAUUAAUCAACUAUGUAUCUUAGACAUGUUGUGCAAUAAGAUGAGAAACUAUAUGUGUGCAUGGUUUUCAUAAUAUAUAUGUUAUAUUUAAUGCAGAUGGUAACACGUAAUUGGAUGUAUAAUGCCGAUCGGCGCUCCGAAGAGUUCAUUAAUGGCGUGCACUAUUUCUUAAGUGUGGCCGAGACAAAUAAGAGGGACAGUUUCAUGUGCUGUCCAUGUGCCGUGUGUAAGAAUUUGACAGAAUAUUCUAACUCAAGAACUCUUCAUUCACACUUAUUAAAGUCUGGUUUUGUACCCAACUAUAUUUGUUGGACCAAACAUGGAGAAAGCGGGAUUAUAAUGGAUGAAGGUGAAGAAGAAGAAGAAGAAUUGGACCAUGCCAAUAUUAUUGCUCGGUACGGUGGCUUCAAUAAUGUUGCAAUGGGGGAAGAUAAUGAAGAAGAGGUAGCGGCACAAGAUGAUCGGGGCGAUGAUGCUUUUGGUGAUGCCAUCCGUGAUGCACAAAGAGAAUGUGAAAGUGAUAAAGAGAAAGCCAAGUUCGAGCGCAUGCUAGAGGACCACAGGAAAUCGCUAUAUCCCACCGCUGAAGAGGGGCAAAAAAAGCUGGGUACCACACUAGAAUUGUUGCAAUGGAAGGCAAAGAAUGGUACAUCUGACAAGGCAUUUGGGCAGUUAUUGAAGAUCAUAAAAAAGAUGCUUCCGAAAGGCAACAAAUUGCCCACCACUACGUAUGAAGCAAAACAGGUUGUCUGCCCUUUGGGAUUAGAAAUCCAGAAGAUACACGCAUGUCCUAAUGACUGCAUCCCCUACCGUGGGGAGGAAUACGAGAAUUUGGAUGCAUGUCCAGUAUGUAAGGCAUCACGGUAUAAGAUUAGACGAGAUGAUCCUAGCGAUGUUGAGGGUGAAGAACGUCAUAGGAAGAAAAUUCCUGCCAAGGUUAUGUGGUAUGCUCCUAUAAUACCACGAUUAAAAUGUCUAUUCAGAAAUAAGGACAAUGCAAAGUUGUUGCGGUGGCAUAAAGAAGACCGUAAGAUAGACAAUAUGCUGAGACACCCUGCCGAUGGAUCCCAGUGGAGAGCGAUAGACAGAGAAUUCCCAGAUUUUGCAGAUGAUGCUAGAAACUUGCGGUUCGCCUUAAGUAUAGAUGGUAUGAAUCCUUUCGGUGAGCAGAGCAGUAGUCACAGCACUUGGCCAGUUACUCUAUGUAUCUACAACCUUCCUCCAUGGCUAUGCAUGAAGCAGAAGUUUAUUAUGAUGCCGGUGCUUAUCCAAGGACCGAAGCAACCUGGCAAUGACAUAGAUGUCUACCUAAGGCCAUUAGUUGAGGAACUUCAACUUUUAUGGAGCAAACCAGGAGUUCGCGUGUGGGAUGAGUACAAACAAGAGCACUUUGACCUGCGAGCAUUGCUGUUUGUAACAAUCAAUGAUUGGCUAGCUCUGAGUAAUCUUUCAGGCCAGUCAAGCAAAGGAUAUAAUGCAUGCACACAUUGUUAUGAAGACCUUGACUGUGUAUUUUUGAAAAAAUGUUGAAAGGUCGUGUACCUUGGCCACCGUCGGUUUCUUUCUGUGAACCACCCAGUACGAAAGAAAGGCAAGCAUUUUAAAGGCAAGGCAGACCACCGGACCAAACCUCUCAAUCGAACCGGGGAUGAUGUACUCGAAAUGGUCAAGGAUAUAAAAGUGGUAUCUUGAAAGGGACGAGGCAGCGAACCUAUUCCCAAGGAUGCUUAGGGACAUGUACCCAUGUGGAAGAAGAAAUCCAUAUUUUGGGAGCUACCUUACUGGAAUGUCCUAGAGGUCCGCAACGCGAUCGACGUGAUGCAUCUGACAAAGAAUCUUUAUGUGAACUUGCUCGGAUUCAUGGGUGUCUACGGGAAGUCUAAGGAUUCACUUGAAGCACGACAAGACUUGCAGCGCAUGAAAUAACGAGACAACCUGCAUCCAGAAAAGACAGAUGAUGGACGUCAUUACUUAAGCCCUGCUAGCUACACUCUGAGUAAAGAAGAGAAGGAAAGCAUGUUUGAAUGUCUUAGCAGCAUCAACGUCCCAUCUAGAUUCUCCUCCAAUAUCAAGGGAAUAAUUAAUGUGCCAGAGAAGAAAUUCCUGAACUUGAAGUCCCAUGACUGUCAUGUUCUAAUGACACAAUUGCUGCCGGUCGUUUUAAGAGGAAUUUUACCUCCACACGUACGUCUAGCCAUCGUAAAUCUAUGUGCUUUCCUCAAUGCAAUUUCUCAGAAGGCAAUCAAUCCAGAGCAACUAGCUACUCUGCAGAAUGAUGUCGUUCAAUGUCUCGUCAGCUUUGAGUUGGUGUUCCCUCCAUCCUUCUUCGAUAUCAUGACACACCUCCUAGUUCAUCUGGUCAAAGAGAUUCGUAUUCUCGGUCCUGUGUUCCUACAGAACAUGUUCCCCUUCGAGAGAUUCAUGGGUGUCCUAAAGAAAUAUGUCCAUAGUCGUUCCCGGCCAGAAGGAAGCAUUGCCAAGGGCUACGGAACAGAGGAGGUCAUAGAGUUCUGUGUUGACUUUAUUCCAAACCUUGACCCAAUUGGCAUUCCUGAAUCUCAACACGAGGGCAGACUCAGCGGAAAGGGAACACUUGGGAAGAAAACAUAUAUUGGUACGGGAGACGAUUACUUCAAUAAAGCACACUACACAGUUCUCCAGAACUCCUCAUUGGUGGAACAAUAUGUUGAGGUACACAUAGAUUUCCUACGGUCCCAGUGGCCCGGGAAGAAUGAAGCUUGGAUAAUGCGUCAGCACAUGGAAACUUUUGGCGAUUGGUUGCACAAAAAAUGUCAAGGUGAUGAAAACAUUGAUGAGCAGCUUUAUUUGUUGGCCAGGCAACCAUCAUGGCAUGUCCUCACGUACAAAGGGUACGAGAUAAAUGGUAACACAUUUUACACAGUUGGCCAAGAUAAAAGCAGCACCAACCAAAAUAGUGGUGUACGCGUGGAUGCCACGGAUCCAAAUGGAAACAGACAAACAUAUUAUGGACGCAUAGAAGACAUAUGGGAACUAGUCUAUGCAACUAAUUUUAAAGUUCCUUUGUUCCGGUGCCAAUGGGUGAAGAUGACCGGAGGUGAGAUAACAGUCGACAGGAGUAUGGGAUGAAAAGUUGACCAUUAGACAAAAUGUAGAACUUGAUGAGUGUAGCAAACUUUGUAUUCAUGACUUUUCCAUUUGGGACAAUCUAGGGUUCGGUCAAAGGGUGUUUUUAUAAAAACCAAUGCUUUGACUUUGGUCAAACUUGAUCAAAUGGCCCAUUUGAUGACUUCACAUGAAAAACUUUUGAAUACAAAGUUGUUAGAGAUCAUCAAGAUCUACAUUUGAUAUAUUGACCAUUUUUCCAUUUGGAUAAAUUUGAGCCAAUCCGAAGCACAUUUGUUCAAAAUCCAAGACGGGUUUUGGUCAAACUUGGUCAAAUGACAAACUAAAUUACUUCAAAUGAAAAAUUUUUGAAUACCAAGUUGUUAGAUAUCAUCAAGAUCUAAACUUUUUAUAUACACAAUUUUUCCAUUUGAGAAAGUUUAAGUUAACAAUACCCACCAAUUCUUAAAUCUCACACAAACAAUAUGAAACUAUAUGUGUCAAUUGUGGAUUUUCAACUACACCUUCCCAAAACUUUGUCAAAUGCAAAAAUGGUCUAUAUAUUAAAUGUAGAUUUUGAUGAGUGGAACAAUAUUGGUAUUCAUGACUUUUCCAUUCGAGACCAUCUAGGGUUCCGAAACCGCUGCGUGGCUAUGAAUUCUAUGAAAAUUCAAAAUUCAGUGGUUCAAACUUUUCCAAAUGAAAAGUUGACCAUUAGACAAAAUGUAGAACUUGAUGAGUGUAGCAAACUUUGUAUUCAUGACUUUUCCAUUUGGGACAAUCUAGGGUUUGGUCAAAGGGUGUGUUCAUCAAGAUAUAUAUUUUUAUAUGAUUUUUUAUUUGAUGAAAACUAUACCCAACUAGCAUUCCUAGUAAUAAAUAACCAAAAUAUAAAGUUUUACGUCAAUAUGAUGUGAAAAUAAAUUUCCAGUUGAUUGGAUAUAGUUUUUGUAAAUUUAUUGGAAUAAUAUAUUUUUGCAUUAACAAAAUACUAAACAUUUCUUACAAAAUCUUUGCAAAUUAUAAAAAUACAAUAAGAUAUUUAAGGUUAAAAAUUUUCAUGUGUACAUUAAAAAAAAUUACAAUAUAUGUCACUGUUUAAAAAAUAUUAUGCAAAAUAUUUAAUUUACUAUACAAUUUAUAAUAUAAGAGCAUCUCCAACAACUUAGUAUUUCAACAUGCUAUCCUACCAAAUUUGCUAAAAGCAUAAAAAUCCUCCUCCAACAACUCUUAUCUCAACUUGCUAAAUUUCCCAAGUUGCUAUCCAGAGGUUUCUACUGCCGAAAUUUGUCAAGUUGCUAUCCCAAGUUGCUAUCCCGAGCGCAACUUGUUGGAGACACAUAUUCUUUUACCAAGUGAGCGGGUCCCAUCUGUCAUCCUCUAUUUUUACCAAGUGAGAAUAGCAACUUAUUGGAGACACAUCCUUUUUUCUUUUGCUAAACAAAUUAACAACUUGCUAUAACUCAAGAUUUGACAAGUGAAUUUUACCAAGUUGUUGGAGACGCUCUAAACUGUAUAUAUAAACAAUUGAAAAACCCUAAACUAAAAAACAGGGCCUUUAGCACCGGUCCAUAGUGGGAACCGGUGCUAAAGGGUCCUGAAAAUUUCAGGAGCCCACCCUAGCGCGCGCAGGACCCUUUAGCACCGGUCUGUGGCUGGAACCGGUGCUAAAGGGUCCGCCCCUAUAUAUGUGCGCAGGAGCCCCGGAUCCCGGCAGUUCAUCUUCGUCUUCGUCUUCGUCUCCAGCGCCGCCGGGUUCAUCUUCGCCGCCGUCGUUUCGACUCCCUCGCCGCCGCGACCGUCUCCACCAGCGCCGCCGCGACCCUCCACCAACACCGCCGCGGCCCUCCGCCAACGCCGCCGCCGCGGCCAUCCACCUGCGCCGCCGCAGCGGGCCACCAGCUAGAGCGUGCGCGCGGGCCACAACUUCUCCACGUCGAUCUCAAGAACUCCGGCCGUCGAUCUCCUUUCUCCUAUGUAGAUCAAUCGAACUUCGGCUAAAUAAUCUGCAAAAUGAAUGAAUUGUUAUGAUAUAUAUAUAAUAAAUGUAUCUAUAUGUAUAUAUACUAAAUGUAUAUAAAAAAUAUAUAUUUAUAUAUAUAUGUACAUUUGUAUAUAUUGUGUUUUGAAUUGUUUUGAUAUUGUUUGUACUAUUAUUCUAGUAUUUUAGGGUUUUGUAUUUUAGGGUUUUGUAAUUCUAGUGUUUUGUAUAUUUUAAUUAGGGUUUGUACUAUUAUUCUAUUAUUUUUAGUAUAUUAUUCUAGUAUAUUAGUAAUUCUAGUGUUUUGUAUAUUUUAGGGUUUUGUAAUUCUAGUGUUUUGUAUAUUUUAGGGUUUGUACUAUUAUUCUAUUAUUUAUAGUAUAUUAUUCUAGUAUAUUAUUAAUUCUAGUGUUUUGUAUAUAUAUUAUUGUUUGUACUAUUAUUCUAGUAUUAUUUUAAGUAUAUUUUUCUAGUAUAUUAUUAAUUCUAGUGUUUUGUAUAUAUUAUUGUUUGUACUAUUAUUCUAGUAUUAUUUUUAGUAUAUUUUUCUAGUAUAUUAGUAAUUCUAGUGUUUUGUAUAUGUUAUUGAUUGUACUAUUAUUCUAGUAUAUUAUGAAUUAUAGUGUUUUAGUAUAUUAUGAAUUCUAGUGUUAUUGUUAGUAUUAUUUUUUUAGUAUAGUAAUUCUAGUGUUUUGUAUAUUUUAGGGUUUGUACUAUUAUUCUAUUAUUUUUAGUAUAUUAUUCUAGUAUAUUAGUAAUUCUAGUGUUUUGUAUAUUUUAGGGUUUGUACUAUUAUUCUAUUAUUUUUAGUAUAUUAUUCUAGUAUAUUAGUAAUUCUAGUGUUUUGUAUAUUUUAUUGUUUGUACUAUUAUUCUAUUAUUUUUAGUAUAUUAUUCUAGUAUAUUAUUAAUUCUAGUGUUUUGUAUAUAUUAUUGUUUGUACUAUUAUUCUAGUAUUAUUUAUUUAGUAUAUUAUUCUAGUAUAUUAUGAAUUCUAGUGUUUUAGUAUAUUAUGAAUUCUAGUGUUAUUGUUAGUAUUAUUUUUUUAGUAUAUUAUUCUAGUGUAUUUCUUAUCUUAUAUAGAAUAUAUAUAUGUAUGGUUGCAGACAUAGAAAUGGCUGACCGUGCUCAUGAUGAUCCUGAUUAUAUGGAAGAUGCCAUUCAAAAUAUAAUCGACGACGGUAGUCAGUACUUUAUUGAUUACCACGAGAUCAUGCAAGGCAAUCCUACUGAGCAACAAGAGGGCAAUGCCCCUGAGCAACAAUAGGGCAAUGCGCCUGAGCAACAACUUGUCGUGCAACAAGAAGAAAAUACUGGCGAGGUAUGUAAAUGUAAACAUAUAUAAUUAAUGCAUCUCUUACAUUAGAUUUUAGACUUACUUGGUUAUAAAUUUAGUAUUUUUGUUUCUAUAUCUAGGUGUAGCCUUCUGGUUCGACCUCUACGGGGAGAAGCGUACCUCCACGAGGGCCAAAGAAGCCGUUGGAGGGCCGCUAUGUAAUCUCUGAGUUUGAGAUAGCUACAGGCAGACCACUUGGUGAACAUGCAAAUAAAUAUGUUAGUCACUGUGGAUAUCUUGUGAGAGAUCAAAUACCAAUCAGUGCUCGUGAAUGGAGAGAGAAGCGAGGUGCUCCUAAGAUCAGUUUUGUCUCUGAUCAUGACAAGGAGUUAGUUUGGAAAGCCGUCACAGACGUUUUCACCUUCGACACCAACGAUGAAGAGUUGAAGGUGCGAAUUUAUGACUGGACUAUGAAGAAGAUGGCAGUAGUCUUCCAGAAUUGGAAGAAGACUUUGUACAAUAAAUAUGUCAAGAAAAACGAGACUCCAAAUUUCAACCUCAAGCAAUAUGUAAAGCUGAGGGCCUUCUAGGAUGACUUUGUGCAGUACAAAACAUCAGAAGAGGGCGAGGAACGAGCCAUUAGAAACAAAGAGAAUGCAAGUAAAAAGACAUACCACCAUCAUAUGGGAUCAGGUGGUUAUAAGAGUGUUGUUCCCAAGUGGGACCGAAUGGAACAGGAGAUGCUUGUUAGGGGGGUCACACCCGAGACAAUAGCAAAGAAUUGGAGCGAGCGCUCCAAGCAUUGUUUCUACGGUCAUGGGGAAGCGUGGACCCAGACACCGGGGCGCUAGUUUGGGGCCAAGAAAUCUCUAGAGCAGCAGAGAGACUAGUCCGUGCACGAGAGGCGGUUCAGUCUGGUGAGUUCAGGCCUAACAGGGAGAAGGAUGAACUCACCUAUGCGCUUGAAAAUCCUGAGCACGGUGGGCGUACGAGAGGCUAUGGGGCAGUUCCGUGGCUGCAAUUAUUCCAAGCCGAUCAAGAUACCUACAGAAGCCGCCAGAGAAAGAAGGAUGAGGAGGCAGAGCGGAUCCGCCGCCUGGAAGCUUUUGUUCUGCACUCAGAAGAGCACGAGAAAGCUCGUGAAGAAUGGAUGCAGGCGGAGAUUCAAAGGCAAGUGCAAGCAGCACUUAGUCAAAUGACGAAAGGGCAAGGUACAUCACAGCCUGAGGUCAACGUUAGCCCCCCAGGCCAGUUGAAAAGCAGCUGCGCAUCCAUGGAAGUACCAACCAUUUAGGAUGACACGAAGCUACACUUCCCCGUGGAUGAAGUCACAGAGGCUUUUACUACCUGUGAGGUGCAUGUACCAGAUGGGAAUGCAACAAAAAAGGUGGCUAUCGCUGUUGUCAACCCUAUCGACCGAACGAGAACUCCAAGAAUCCAUAAUCGACCAGUACCUGGUGGAUAUGCUAGCGUCUCGGUUGAUAGGGUUGAGAAAGGUUGUGGUAAUGUGCCUCUAGACAUAGAAGGGGGAGACGGAGAGAAGACCUUAGGUGAAGCUGAGAAGACAUUUAUUUGUUGGCGUAAGCGGUUCAUAAUUAUUCCUCAACAUAGGUUUGUGUGUGAUUUUAAUUCGUAUAUUAUUUAUUAUGUAUUGAAAUUAAAAAAAAAGUUUGCUCACAAAACUUGUAAUUGUUUUCUUUGCAGGGACUCCUCCAACCUAAGUCCAGUUCUCUCCCCAGCGCAUCAUAGUGCUGCGAGCGGUGACAAUGCUGGAUCUCCUCCAACACCUGCGGCGGCCACACCGACCCCGCCACCGCCUCCACCACGGUCUCCACCUCCUCCACCGAGGUCUCCAACUCCUCCACCGUGUUCUCCAACGCCGAAAAGAUCGGCCCCACCACCUCCACCGCCUCCACCACCCUCUCCAAAGAGUGCACUGUUGGUCCCCUCGCCUCCGAAGCGAGGUAGUUGUCGACGGGCCUUAAGUACUAAAAUUAAUAAUCAAAUAAACAUGAAAAAGGAUCAAUAUGAAACAAACAUCUAGAAUUAGGGUUUUAUCUGACAGAAUUCCACGAGCUUUGGUGUUUAUCUAUUUCUGCAGGGGUUUAUCAGAGAAUAUGGAGAGAAGGCCCACAUGUCAUGUUUACAACGAGAUAAUUACGUGCCGCAAAAUUUUCCUCAAUCUAGAAGGGUCCAGAAGCCACGGGAACGAACGGGAAGCGAUUCGGGCUCGGGGGAAAGGCGCCCGCCCACCCCCCUUGGGCGCCCGCCCAGGCCAGGAGUCCAAUCGGGACUCUGCUUUGGGACUACGCUCCACCGACCUAAAGGAUCAAUCUAAACCAUACAAUCUAUGUCGGUUUGAUCCAAUGGCUCAUGUUCACUUAAGGGGACUAUAAAACCAGACCCCCUGGCCCCUGGAGGAGAGAGGAGAAAUCAUUAUUCAGAGGUAGCCAUCAAAGUUAGGGUUUAGAUCUCUCUCCCACAGAGAAUUAGAAUUAGCUACUCCCUAAUCCUUCAAGUUUAGAGGUUGAUUAGAUAGCAAUUAGAGAAGUAGAGCACUACGCUCUGGAUUCGGAUAUUCGGUAAUAAAGAUUGGUAUUAUUCAUAUCUUUCUCUAAUUCUAUUGUUCUAAUUGCAUUAUGUCUCUAAUUAUUAUGUUCUUAGUUUGCUCUAGUUCUAUAUUUGAUAUAGUUCUAAUUGAUAAUGAGUUUAUGUAUAAGUUUGCAAAGCGCUUAGCUCUUGACGCGAGGGAGUUAGGUGAUAGAUCACAUGUGAGCGUGGUGCUUAGAUGUUAUUUAUCUGCAAAUGUAUCCUAUUGGCCGAGUCGUGUGGUAGUUCGCGAUAGUGACAGCUUCGUUGAUUCUUAUAUAGUCCACCCUCCGUUGAUAGGACAGGCAGAACCGGUAUUGUGGAGUAAGUCAUGCGAUGUUCUGAUUUACUUUAUCAAUGUUCCUUAUACAUGAAUGAAGAGUCUUUUAUGCUAUAUAUGAUCUUGAAGAUAACUAGAGUAGAUUAUGACUUAGUAGUUAGUAGAUAAUUUAGAAUCCAUUCUCUAGCUAAUCCGACAUCACCUACAUAUAUGAGGAGUAGCCUAUUUUCUAAUCGCUGUGCUAUCUACCCAUGAACUUAUACUUUAUUAUCAUUAUCUUUAUGGUUUACCCCCUGCUAAAGUAAGUGACUGUGUGACGAGUUUCUCAUUAGUAAUCAUGUUCUUGCAAGUUUAUCUCUAGUCUAUGCCUUGAUAGAUUUUGUCCUUUGAUUUAAUUCCAUCUUCUUGAGAUCCCUAGAGCAAAAUUAUAAAUAACGAUACCUGGAAUACUUAUCCUGGUGAAAUGCUACAAUGAGGUGUUUUAUCUGUACGCUUGCGGAUAGAAUAGAUUAUUUUCUAGAGAGCCUUUACAUUUAUAAAUACCUUUGUACACUCUGGCGUCAUGCUAGGGAUGACAACCUAGUAUCUAAGUGGUGUUAGUUAGUGUCAACAAGCAUUUGUGGCGCCGUUGCCGGGGAUCUUAUAGGAAUUAUAGGAAUUAUAUGAGCCUCAGGAAUAAGUCAUAAUAGGGAACAAAAGGGUAAUAUUAAGGAAAGCCAGAAAAUCAAUCAAGGUUAUUCAUAUAAAAUAUUAGACUAGACUAUAGAGAAAUAAUUGCAUAAAACAGCUACUAAGUGAGAAAUCAUAACAAGGCACCGCUGCUUUGGCAGGUUCACCCUGUUGUUUUUCUAUGUUUAUAUUUUUAUACAGGGUAUAACAGGAUUGACAUUGGGUACAUUCAACUCUUCAUCAUCAGAACCAAAGCAAUCAAGAGAAGAAGAAGCUAGCUACCAAUUGCUGAAGCUAUGGCACAAAAGACCUUGCAAGAAUUCUCUGCUCCAAGUCUUGACAACAUUCCAACUGGUCCAAGAUUUGCAGUAGAAGAAGGAAUACCUGAGUUUGAGCUCAAGUCAAGCCUCAUCAAUUUGGUACAAGCUACACAAUUCAGUGGAAAGGCACAUGAAGAUGCCAGUGCACACUUGCAGAAUUUCUUAGAGAUUGAAAGCACAAUCCACAUCAACGGAGUUGACAAAGACGUCAUACUGCUUCGCCUCUUUCCAUUCUCACUAGAAGGAAAAGCGAGGAAGUGGUUCUACACUCAUCAAGAUAACAUCAACAACUGGACGAACUUGUCAGAUGCCUUUCUAUCAAAGUUUUUCCCUGUAGGCAAAACAACUGCCUUAAGAGGAAAUAUUGUCAGUUUCCAACAGCAGAAGAAAGAAACCAUUUCAGAAGCAUGGGAGCGUUUUCAAGGAUACAUUUCAGAUUGUCCUCACCAUGGAAUGGCCAAGUGGUUACUUAUGCAGACCUUCUACCAUGGAUUAACCCAGAAGGCUCGUGAGUGCCUAGAUGCAUCUGCUAAAGGAUCAUUCUUGGAACUUACAACUAGAAAAGCAGAGAUAAUUUUGGAUAAGAUAGCAGAAAACCCAAGUUGGUUCCAAGAUAAAGCUCAACAUUGUCAUCAAACUGAAGAAAUACCCGAAGAAGUAAAUGUGUUAUCAAGUAAGAUGGAAAAUUUGCUCCAUUGGAUUGACCAGAGGGCCAAGUUCAAAGAAGAUCACAGGGCCAUUGAGACAGCAUACAAAUAUCAACCAACUUCGAGUCAACCCAAUAGCAAAGGUAUGAAUUCAGGUAAUACUUUCAAGCAACUUUCAUUAAAAGAGAUAAUUGCUCAACAAACCAAAAUUAAUGAUGAAGUUAAGCAAAGGCUAGAUACAAAUGAAUCGUCUCUAAAAGAUAUACACAACAAAAUGGAUUUUCUACUAACUGCCUUUGAUGAGCAAAACACUCUUAAUAAAAGGGUAGAGCUUAAAUUAAUAAAGUUAGCUGCUGCACUGCCUGUUGCUACUAACAUUGAGCAGGUAAAGAAUAUAACUACUAGAGGAGGUAAAGCCACCAGAGAUCCACCAUACCCAAAAGAGAAACAAAGAACAUCAGCACCAGUGCAACCAGCAGUGAUAGAAGAAGAAAGCCCAGUUGAAGCAGAAGAUCUGCUACAACCACCAAGAACUGGAGAAAUGAGGAAAGAUUUUUACGACACCAACUAUUUGCCAUUUCCCAGAAGAAACAGAGGACUGCAGUCGGAUGAGCAGUUUGGUAAGUUUGUAGAGGUCAUUCAGAAAUUAUAUGUCAACAUACCUCUACUUGAUGCCAUACAGGUACCUACAUAUGCAAAGUACAUCAGAGAUAUUCUUAAUAAAAAGAGACCACUGCCCACCACUGAGGUUAUCAAGCUGACAGAAGAAUGUAGUGCGGCCAUCCUCAACAAACCACCAAAGAAGAAGGAAGAUCCAGGAUGCCCCACUAUUGACUGCUCGAUCGGAAACCAACACUUCAACAAUGCACUUUGUGAUUUCGGAGCAAGUGUCAGUGUGAUGCUAGCAUCAGUCUACAAAAAGCUUAAUCAUGCAAACUUAGAACCAACAUCAAUGUGCCUACAACUAGCGGAUCAAUCGGUUCGACACCCGUUGGGCAUCGCCGAGAACAUUCCAGUCAAGAUCAGAGAUUUCCUGGUGCCAGUAGACUUCGUAGUACUGGACAUGAGUCCUGACUCAAAAGUGUCCAUCAUCCUUGGAAGGCCAUUUCUGAGCACUACCAAUGCCCACAUUGAUGUCGGAAAAGGAGAAAUCAAGUUCAACAUAAACGGUCAAGAAGAACACUUCACAUUCAAACCCAGAUUAGAGAGAGACUCUACAGUGAAGGAAGUUCAUGAAGAACCACUGGAGACACCAUCUCCGGAGGAAGGAAACUCAGAAGAUUAAAAGAUUUGGAGGUCCAGCUUGGGGGACCUAAAAAUCCCAAACCCUCAUCGGGAGGUAAAUCGGUAUUUAUCCGCAUUAUUAAUUUUCUCAUAUUUAAUUUCUUGCAUAAUUAAAUCUUGCAUUAGUCACAUUUAUUCAUAGCAUUAUUAUAAUAAUCAAAAAGCCCCAGAUAAAUAAUAUUCGUGGUGUGUAACAACCCAUAUUUAUUAAUUAUUGUGGGGGCACAAAAAUAUUUUCCAAUAUCAUUUUCAAUAAGUUUCGAUUCUCAUAGAUUUUCCUGCAUUAUAUUUAUUUAUAUUGAUCUUCUAGAAGCAUGACCCACACUCUUUGGGUCCCACAUGUCAUACACUUCACCUCACAUACAUCCCAUCAUAUAAUUUCAUCCACCAAUAUGUUUCCACUCACCUGACAUCUUUCCACCGUCCAACCACUAUCAACACAAUAUUAUUCUGCGUGAGAUCAAAGCAAGGAAGCAAGUGGAGGAGGCACACCCAGGAUGGACACCAGGGGUGGGCGCCCGCCCACCUACCAUGGGCGCCCGCCCUGUCCCCUGCUCAGCCUAUAAAAGGCCACCUCCAGCUCCCCUUCUCUUCACACAAACACUUCAAAAAACCACACAAAUCUCAGUUUCCCGAGAAGGAGCUUUUGUAGUGAAGAGAAGAGAGUAGAGAGAAAGAGGAGAGUGGAUGGGAAGGUUGGAGUUCUUUUGAGAGAGUGAUUGUCACCUAGCAAGUAGUGAUCCCGUUGUCUAAGCGGAAGUAAAAGUUGUUUAGGGGGAGGCUCUACCAAAAUAGAAAUUUGUUUUGAACGAUUAACCCCUGGACUACUGACACUCGGACAGCUGACCACUAACAUUUUAUCUCACAUUUUCCACCAGUUGUGUUUUUGCCAACUUCUGUUUGCAGGAUGUUUAAGAAGGUGAAGAAUGCAGGGAAGGCUCUCAAGAACAUUGGUACAAGGAGUUCAACCCGACACUCCUCACAGCCAUCAGAGAUGAGCGUCGACCCGACACCCACACAAGCUCCAUCAUCUUCAUCAGGCCAGCAAGUCAAGGUCCUUCUCAAGAUAGGAGACCUUGGACUGAAGACCCGAAGAGAGAAAGAAGUUUAUCAGCAAUUGAAGAACAAGGAUUUCAUUCACACCCCUACUAUCGAUCCAAUCCUACUACGAGAAACAGGUAUGGACACUGAAUUUGACUUAAUUUUUCAGAUGAUAGGUUGGACAAAUUUUUGGAAUAUAACUGAGCUGGGUUCUCGUCUUCUCACCCUCGAAUUUCUUUGCACUUUACAAUACUAUGAGGGGGGAAUUGUUUUUCGGAUGUUUAAACAGGAAAUUAUGUUAUCUUGGAGAGAGCUGAGCGACCAUCUUGGUUUCUCUUCAAGAUGCAUCCUGAACAUUGACUCCGAUUUACCCAAUUUUGAGAGACACCAGAUUUGGAGAGAAAUAUCUAGAGAUAAUUUUUACAGUCAAGCCCGAACCAGUGACAUGGAACACCCCACUCUUAGGAUGUUCCACAAAUGGCUUGGGUACAAUCUUUUCUAUCGCGAUGAUAUUAGGAAAGUAAGAGUAGGAGAUUUACAACUUUUAUAUGCUGCUAUUAGUAAAGUACCUACUUCACCUGUUACACUAUUAGUUUCACAUUGGCUUAGUAUACCUAGUCUUCAGGGACCAGUAGGAUGUACUUCACUUAUCACUCGUCUAGCCACUAAUCUUCACUUACUAGAAAACUCAUCGUUGGACUUCAUAGAAGAAUUAAGAAUUUAUCAUGGCUAUGACACAUUUAGACAAGCUCGGAUGUUAAAGAAAGAGGGGAAUAUAAUGUAUAUGCUAUAUGAUGAUAAAGGCAAGAUUUGGUUACCUAACCCGAACCUUGGCCUCUACUCUGUGCAAAACUUUUUGAUUGAGAUUGCAGCAACACCAGUGAACUAGAGAAGUCCACAGCGAGUGGCAUCAGAAAGGAUAACCACUCACCGAGAACGCACUUGGUAUGGAGCUGACCCUGGACCAGAAGAAGCAGCGCACCUGCAUUAUUGCGAUUACAAUCCACGAGUCCUUCGAGACCCAUGGGCUCGUCAUGCCACAACCACAAGAGCCAACAGAAGAGACAUGGCCGGAGAGCCAAGAUCACCAGUGGACAAACCCGCCUUUUCAUACGGGCAGAUACUCCACUGAUCCAUAUGGAGCUUCAGGAUCCAGACCUCCACCCCAAUUUGAUGGAGGACGAUACUCCGACGCCUCCUACGCCUUCACGAAUGACUACUAUCAAGAGGCCGGUGCUUUCUUCACUCGUACCGACAACACCCUCCUCGACAUCCAGAACACGCAAGCAGAACAUGGAAGACUCCUGGAAGAGCAACAAAAAUGGAACCUGGACCAUGCCGCUGCGGUACAAGAGCUGAGACAAGAUACAACAACAAUGAAUGAUAACAUCACAACCAUAAUGCGGUUCUGGAACAUCGGGUAAGACCCACGUCAACAUCCAGCUUGGGGGAGUUCCUCCCUAAUUUAUCAAGUAAGUUUUUAUUUGCUCUUCUUAUUUAUUCUAUUCUGUCUUAGUAUUUUAUUUAUCUUAAAAGAAAAAACUUAGAAAACCAAAUAAAUAUUUUCUUGCUUUAAUUUACUGCACUUUAUAAACAUGAAAACAAAAUAAAAAGAGUGCCUAGAUAAGUGUGUUUUAUUUUUCUACUAAGUUUAAUCUCUAAAAAAAUAAAAAGACCAAAAAUAUGCAUGAUGGAAAUGAUGAACAGUGGCUCUGUUUGCUUACUUACAAGUACCUAGCUUUUAUAUUAGAAUUCUUCCAGGAAUUACUAAAACUAAAAUUACUAUCUUUGGGAAGCAUAAAACUAAAGUCUAGGUAAGAGAAAGGCAUGAUAUAAAGUUGAGCUACUGUUUAUCUUGUUUCUACUACACUAAGUUCUGGAGAUUUAUUUUGAAAACUUACAAGUCACAUGAUGAGUUCCUAGCAUAACAAACUACCUACCACAGCCAUACUUGCUAUAACAUCUUUUACUAUAUUUACAUUGAGUUUGAUCGAGCUGUGUAGACCCUUAGGAGCUUUUCAUGUGGUUAAAUUAAGAUAUUCACUUGCACACAUCUACCACAGCAUUCAUCAUCAAUCAUUAAAAUUGCUAAAAAUAUUAUCACUCACUGUCCCGAAUAUUGUUAUUCUCUCUCUCUAAAAAGAUUCAAUGCAGAAGAGGCAUGGGUUAUGUAAAAAUAUAUACGAGGAAAUAAAAAGGGGCAAGUGCCCGGGAACCUCGAAAAAGAAAGAAAAAGAGUGAGACGAGAGGUAAAAAUGGACAAGUGUCCGAAGUAGAAUUAGGGGUACAAAGAUGCCCGCUUGAGCGGAAAAAAUGGACAAGUGUCCGACAGUAGAAUUAGGGGUAUCUAUUACCCACCUGAAAAAAAAAGAAGAAGAAGAAGAAAGAAGAAAGAAAAAGAUAGCCCAUGUUCUCCCAAAGCAAAGAUCAAAAAUAAGAGGAGAGAUAGCAAUAUGAGGAGCAAUGAGAACUAAGAUUUAUUAACACUAUUGCAUUUUCACCAUCACUAUCAUUUACUCCACCACACAUGCACAUCUUGAUUUAAUUAUAUGCUGAGUUCCUUUGGAUCCAUGGCUCAAUUAGACAACAUAUGUAUGAGCUGUUUUCCACUCCUAUGAGCUCCACUUAAAUAUUCUAUUAGCUAUAGGUAAGUGACAUUAUGGUAAGGAUCCACAAAUACCACAUAUAGAGAGACUUGAGAGAUCAUUGCUGGGAACUCUGAGUUUUAUUUUGAAAACUUAGGAAAAACUCUAGAACAAAGGUGAAGUAUAGACAAGAGGGAUAGUGCUUGACUUAACUAUUUUGUCUUUUGAUUACAUAAGAUUUAAGUGCAGGUACUAAACUCCAUAACACUUCACUCUAAUCUGGAAGAAUUUUUAUGUAAAAGCAUGUGUGCCUGUCAGGAAAGAAAACAUCGAAGCAACUCCUGAUCCGUCUAAGUUUAGCUAUUUGCUCAGGGACGAGCAAAGGGUAAGCUUGGGGGAGUUUGUUGACGGUCCUUAAGCACUAAAAUUAAUAAUCAAAUAAACAUGAAAAAGGAUCAAUAUGAAACAAACAUCUAGAAUUAGGGUUUUAUCUGACAGAAUUCCACGAGCUUUGGUGUUUAUCUAUUUCUGCAGGGGUUUAUCAGAGAAUAUGGAGAGAAGGCCCACAUGUCAUGUUUACAACGAGAUAAUUACGUGCCGCACAAUUUUCCUCAAUCUAGAAGGGUGCAGAAGCCACGGGAACGAACGGGAAGCGAUUCGGGCUCGGGGGCAGGGCGCCCGCCCACCCCCCUUGGGCGCCCGCCCAGGCCAGGAGUCCAAUCGGGACUCUGCUUCGGGACUACGCUCCACCGACCUAAAGGAUCAAUCUAAACCAUACAAUCUAUGUCGGUUUGAUCCAAUGGCUCAUGUUCACUUAAGGGGACUAUAAAACCAGACCCCCUGGCCCCUGGAGGAGAGAGGAGAAAUCAUUAUUCAGAGGUAGCCAUCAAAGUUAGGGUUUAGAUCUCUCUCCCACAGAGAAUUAGAAUUAGCUACUCCCUAAUCCUUCAAGUUUAGAGGUUGAUUAGAUAGCAAUUAGAGAAGUAGAGCACUACGCUCUGGAUUCGGAUAUUCGGUAAUAAAGAUUGGUAUUAUUCAUAUCUUUCUCUAAUUCUAUUGUUCUAAUUGCAUUAUGUCUCUAAUUAUUAUGUUCUUAGUUUGCUCUAGUUCUAUAUUUGAUAUAGUUCUAAUUGAUAAUGAGUUUAUGUAUAAGUUUGCAAAGCGCUUAGCUCUUGACGCGAGGGAGUUAGGUGAUAGAUCACAUGUGAGCGUGGUGCUUAGAUGUUAUUUAUCUGCAAAUGUAUCCUAUUGGCCGAGUCGUGUGGUAGUUCGCGAUAGUGACAGCUUCGUUGAUUCUUAUAUAGUCCACCCUCCG